rnacentral:lncRNA from 1 species
AUGGCCUCUAUUGAUUUCUUCCUUGGCAUUUUUGCUCAUAGCCACUACUGCCACGGCUGCUUAUGAGCCUUACAUUUAUGCCUCACCACCUCCACCGCCUUACUAUUACAAGUCACCACCACCACCAGAAUAUUCUCCACCACCACCUUACUACUACAAAUCUCCACCACCACCUGAGAAGUCUCCCCCGCCACCUUACUACUAUCACUCACCACCUCCUCCUAAGAAGUCACCCCCACCACCUUACUACUAUAAGUCUCCGCCUCCGCCGAAGGAAUAUCCCCCACCACCUUACUACUACAAGUCUCCGCCACCACCGGAGAAGUAUACCCCGCCACCUUACUACUACAAGUCUCCGCCCCCACCCGAGAAGUAUACCCCGCCACCUUACUACUACAAGUCACCGCCCCCUCCGCCACCUUACUACUACAAGUCUCCGCCACCACCGGAGAAGUAUACCCCGCCACCUUACUACUACAAGUCACCGCCCCCACCCGAGAAGUAUACCCCGCCACCUUACUACUACAAGUCACCGCCCCCACCGGAGAAGUAUCCCCCUCCACCUUACUACUACAAGUCACCGCCCCCACCGGAGAAGUAUCCCCCUCCACCUUACUACUACAAGUCACCGCCCCCACCAGAGAAGUAUCCCCCUCCACCUUACUACUACAAGUCACCGCCCCCACCAGAGAAGUAUCCCCCUCCACCUUACUACUACAAGUCACCGCCCCCACCAGAGAAGUAUCCCCCUCCACCUUACUACUACAAGUCACCACCGCCACCAGAGAAGUAUCCCCCUCCACCUUACUACUACAAGUCACCACCGCCACCACCUUAUUAUUAGAAGUCUCCUCCACCUCCCUCUCCAUCUCCACCCCCUCCAUACUACUAUAAGUCGCCACCUCCUCCUUCUCCAUCUCCACCCCCACCGUACUAAUAUUUGUCUCCUCCACCUCCUAAAGGCUACUAAAUAUACAAUGUGUUGUUGAAACAUGUGUGAUCUUAGUUAUGUAAGAAUAAGUGUAAGUUUGUAAGCUUGUUCUAUUUCUGAUUUUUUCUUCAUCAAUGUUUUUGUGAAUAAAAGGAUUUGAGAUGGUAAAUCCAUUUGUAAGAAGUGCUGCUCAUUUUCGUUGUAAAAGUUAUUGUAAGCAAUAAGAUCUCGUAAUUUAAGGUUUCAUAAAAGUUAUAUGUGCAACUACUUUCAAUUUCCAUUGUCAUCUUUUUCACAACCACCAAGCGUAUUACUUCUUUAUAGAUGGAAAAUGCAGAGGCAAGCUUAUUAUUCUUUAAUAUUACCAUUCUUGAUGUGUUUGUUUAUUUAGUUGAAACGGUAAAUAAAAUGUACAUGAAGUACCGCACUGCAUCCAAAUUAAAUUUAGGAUAUAGACUAAGUUCAUGUAAUCUCAAUUUUGUCACAUUAUUAUUGGAUUUUAUAUAAAUAGCUAAUUUCUUUUCCUUCCGAAUUUCGACGGGAAGGAGAAUUUAUUAAGUAAUACAGAGAAGUGCACCUAGUAAUAUUUAAAGAGGAUAUAAUGAGCACUACCUUUCAUGAUGAUAAUGCCCAUGAACAAGUAAGAGAAGCUUAGAGUUUUAUUCCUACUCAAAUCAGAUUCUACGGAGGAGUUAUAUUCGUACCUUUUUAACGCUUUACAUAUAUGAUUAGAGAAUUAUGAGGACAUAAAUUCCGCUAUAAAUUUGUUGUUAUAUUUAGAGGAGUUUACAUGACUGGAGAAUUAUACACACAUAAAUUCUUUGAUGUCCAUUUUAAAUUAUAUUCCAAAAGGGAAAAUGUUUUCCGUUUAUGGUUUAAAAAUAGAAGCUUUGUGCUUUUUUUUUUUAAAAAAAAAAUCUAGAUCAUUCAGUGAAUAUUGGUUGUUAAUUUACUGCCAAAAUACUCGUAAGUUUAUUUAUUUAUUCUGUAAUGCAACUUUUGGGAUACAUAAUAAUCAUAUAAAUAAAUAAACUAUAUUGUAAUAUAUUUCAAUUAACUUGUUGACUUGUAUGAAAAGAGCGUGUCAUUACCUUUUAUGCCUAAUUAAAUUUACAAUUUUAGUCCCUAUGAUUUUUUUUUUUCAAUCAUUAAUUCCAUGCUCUUAUGAGUAGAAACAUAUGUAGAAUUUUGAUAUUUAAGAGUUGGUGGAGUUUCUAUGAUAUUUUGUACCUGUGGCUCAUCAUUUCACCACGGUGGGCAACUUCAUGGAUUUUGUCCUCUAAAAGGUAGCACUCUAACUUAAGAUGCCAUGUUCUUCAGAAAGUUAUCAAAUAGUUGAAUAGUUAUAUUAAGUUUAUUAUUGAUAAGAAUCUUAAUUAACUAGAUAUAGUACUUAAUAUACAAUGUUUUAUUCGUGAAAUUGUUGAACUAUUUUCACCAUUUUUCAAUGUCAUUUUCAGGAUGAGCUAUCAUUUGGAAUUUCAUUUUCUAUGGACUCUCACUUUUUCCCAUAACCACUUUUUUUGUUUAUAUUUUAUCAGAUUAAUUAUUCCUUGUUUGUUUAGAAGGAGCUUUCAUAUUGGAGAAAUACAUUACGUAUCUUAUAAAUCUAUGCAUCUUUACCUUUUUUUUUCCCAAAAUAAUUAAAAAAAAAAAAACCUCACCAAUGACCAAUCCAAUGUUCAAUAUGAAAAGUUUGAAGAAAAAAUGGUGUGAACUAAAACAAAAUAUAUAAUUUUGUCACAAUCCAAGAAAAAAAAAUCAUUAUAAAAUAUAAUUAAGAGGUAGCCACCUUCUCUACAUCAAUUUGUCACAAAACUAUAUCAGUGAGAUAUAUGCAAGACUCACCCAUUGGUACAAAAGAAAAUGAUCAAAGUGGAAGCAAAAAUGUGGUGAUAAUUUAGAUGAUCUCCACUCCCCAUUUAGUUUCAUUUAUUAAGUUAAUGUUUAAUCAAGAGUCUAAUUACUCAUUUUAUUAUGUUAUUAAUCAACUGCCGCCCCUUCCACUGGUUCAUUAUUUUUUAUGGAAUACAAAAAACAGACAAUAAUAUUCUUUGACAUAGCUAGGAAUAUAGCCCACUUGCAAGAGACUUACAUUCCAUCGCUCCCUAAUUUCCCGUGUAACAUCUUAUCUUGCAUCACAUCAGAGACGUGUUCGUUUGCACAGCCAUUUCGUGAAUAUAAAAUUGCUGCCGAAUAAGCAUCUAAUCAAAAGAAUUUGUCAACGGUAUAAAUUAAAAUAUAAAAAACGAGUAAAAGAAUUUGUCAAUAGGAUAUGGGAGGCCAUGGCUUCAAUCGGUUUGUGCAAUGGUCAAUGGCAUAUUUUUGCUCAUCGUCACCACUGAAUCCACUGAUCAUUUGUGCAUGUGAGUUGUUUUUGAGCAUUUAUUUUUCCCUUUAGAAGCAUAAGGAUAAGGCUAGUCUUCUUUUUGGGAGGACUUAUUGCUUCCAUUCGUUAAAAUUGGGCAUGUAAAAUGUCAAGAAAAAAUGGCCUAAGUGGCUAGCUAGAUGAUAUAAUGGAUGGUUACUACUCAAACCUAGCAAUAAAUGAAUGUCCGACAAGCAUUCAAAUGAAUGAAUAAAACCAAUCAGAUUAGAAUAUCUAUUUAUGAUAGAUUAAUGAAAAUACGAUUCAAAUAUAAGGUAAAUAAUCUCUCCAUUAAUUUUUUAUUGUUUCAGGCAGGGUUGCCAAGCCUCUGUCCGGGCUUCUAUAAGCUCAAUUCCAGCUCUCCUAUAUGAUUGAAUUAGAUCGGGCUAGGCCCUCGGACUUUUUAAUUAAAAAAGGUCGAUUUUUAAGUUUAUGAAGUUAAUACACUCACGCUUAUACUUUAAUAUUUUUAUUAUUUGGCUUUUAGAAUAUUAACGUGUAAAUUACUUUUUUUUUUCAAGUGAAAUAAUUAUCACAUUUUGUCUUCUUAGUAUAUAUUUCUACCUUUUUGUUCCUAUAGAUAUUUCCUCAUUUCAUCUUUGGUACUAGAGCGUAGUAAAAAAACACAUGAUUAAAGAUAAAUAUGACAUUUUAACUAACAAAUUAAUUAUUUGUAUCUAAGAUCUAGCUCUAGUGGUAAAGAUCAAUUUUCAUCGAAUUCAAGUCUUGGGUUUGAAUUUAAAUGCAUGGGUAAGUUAAUAAUAAUAAUAAUAAUAAUAAUAAUAAUAAUAAUAUCAAAUUAACUAGCUUUAAUUUGCAAAGGUCUUAGAUAAUCAAUUCGCUUGUAAAAAUAUCAAAAUUUUUUUUAAUCAAUGAAAUUUUCAAGUCUCUAGUUUUAGCACAAGGAAUGAAUUAAAAGAGUAAUGAUAAAUAUUUUACAAUUUUAUCCCAAAUGAUAAGACAUGUCAUGUGUCAUGUAUUAAGUGAUUGAUGAUUUUUUUAUAAAUUUUAAGUGGAUGAAAUAUAUUAUUUCACCAACCAGUAAAUGAAUAUGACAUCAUUUGAGAAGGAAUUUUAUGGUACAAUUUUGAAAUAUUUAUCACUACUCAAUUAUAUACAGUAUAAAAAAUCUAAUAGGGACCAAAAAUAUAAAAACAGAUUAAGAAUAAAAAAUAUAAAAGUCAAUUCCUAAUUAGGAGAAUGAAAGUGUCAUUCCCCUGUAAUCAUUUCACUAGAUAUUAUGUAAAUAUAUUAAGGCAAAAUUUUAAUAGAAAAUUGGUACCCAAACCUAACGUCUUUGACAUUGCUGCCAAGAUCACUCACAACUUACAAGAAUAAAAAAUUGGUAUUAAAUUUAUUAAUGUUCUCAAGGAAUUUUUAGCUUGACUUUACAUUUCUCGGACCCAUUUGUCACAUAACACCUUAGUUCGUUAACAAAGCCCUUUCAUGAGAAUAUUAGAACUGCUGUCGAAUAAGCAUCUUAACAACCCCUUUUUGACAUACAUGCAUGCCUCCUUCUGUGAACAAUUUGAAACAUAAAAUAAAAUUUCAAUCGAUGUGAGGGUUGGAGUAUUUUAUAGCUUUUGACCUCAUUAAUUAUGAGUAAGAGAAUAUUUCUACGUCACUAAUGGUUAAAAUGAUCACUAUAUAAAGGGUAGCAAAGUAUGUUUAACAUCAAGUCAGAAAACACAAUUUUUAGGAAAUGGGAACUCGGGGACAAGCGAGGCAAUGGCCUCAAUUGUUUUGUGCUAUAGCAUUUUUGCUUAUAACCACCACCACCAAGGCAUCGGCUGAUGAUUAUGCCUCAGCACCACCACCAAAGUAUUCUUCUCCACCUCCUUACUACUACAAAUCACCACCUCCUCCUUCUCCCUCUCCACCUCCACCAUAUUAUUACAAGUCUCCCCCACCACCAUCUCCGUCUCCUCCACCACCUUACUACUACAAGUCACCACCACCACCAGUGCAUUCUCCCCCGCCACCUUAUUACUACAAAUCUCCGCCGCCACCAAAGUAUUCUCCCCCGCCACCUUAUUACUACAAAUCUCCACCGCCACCAAAGCAUUCUCCCCCACCACCUUACUACUACAAAUCUCCACCGCCACCAAAGCAUUCUCCUCCACCACCUUACUACUACAAAUCUCCACCACCACCAAAACACACCUUACUAUUAUAAAUCACCACCUCCACCAAUGAAGUCUCCACCUCCGCCAUAUUACUAUAAAUCACCACCACCACCAAAGCAUUCUCCCCCGCCACCUUACUACUACAAGUCUCCACCACCACCAAAACAUUCCCCACCACCACCUUACUACUAUAAGUCACCGCCUCCACCAGUAAAGUCUCCACCACCGCCCCCAAAGCAUUCUCCCCCACCACCUUAUUAUUACAAAUCACCACCUCCACCAGUGAAGUCUCCACCUCCGCCACCUUACUAUAAAUCACCACCACCUCCAAAGCAUUCUCCCCCUCCACCUUACUAUUAUAAAUCACCACCUCCACCAAUGAAGUCUCCACCUCCGCCAUAUUACUAUAAAUCACCACCACCACCAAAGCAUUCUCCCCCGCCACCUUACUAUUAUAGAUCUCCACCACCACCAAAGCAUUCUCCCCCACCACCUUACUACUAUAAGUCACCACCUCCACCGAAGAAAUCCCCACCUCCACCAUAUUAUUAUAAGUCGCCACCACCACCAAAGCAUUCUCCCCCACCUCCUUAUUAUUACAAAUCUCCACCACCACCAAAGUAUUCUCCACCACCACCUUACUAAUACAAAUCUCCACCAACGCUAUCUCUAUCCCCACCUCCAUCUUACAUUUAUAAAUUCCCACCUCCACCAUCUAUAUCACCUCCACCACCACCUCCAUCACUGUCACUAUUGCCUCGCUACUGUUCCAAGUCAUCACCACCUCCUGAAGACUACUAAGUUCAAUGUUCCGUCUUCAAACAAAUUUAAAAUUCAAUAAGAAUAAAUUUGUUCCUUCAGUUGCCUUUUUCAUGAAUUUUUAUGUUAAUGUUUUUACGAAUAAUUUUUAAGAAGCGUUCGGUGUAUCAUUGUCAUGUGCAAUAAAAAUUUUCUAACUUAAUGUACCCAAAAAAAAAUGUUCCACAAGAAAUAUUCUAUUGUUUUAUCACAAAUGUGUUGUGGCACAUGUAAUGCGCCUAGAUAAAGUAAUAUUAUGUCUUGAUGAACAAUCAUGCACAACAAUGAUCAUGUACAUAGUUCUUCCAAUGUCAUGAUAAUGUCCAUGCACAUAAUAACAAACUUCUUCCUUGUAAUAUCAAAGAAAAUGAAUAUACAAGCCUCUUAUUCUCUAAUCAUUCACUCAAACAACAUUGUUUUAAUUUAGGUUUUGAUCAAUCUUAAUGCUCAUAAAUGCUAACUACAAAUCAUAUACAAGAUCAACAAAAACCAUAUUUUAAAUGAAUUAGAAAAACAAACAUUAGACUUAACCAAGUAGUUAACCUUUAUUAUUCUCCUAGGUAGAUUACAAGCUAUCACUGAAAAAAAAAAUCAUCUAAAAUGGUGAACAAAUGCGCUCUAAAUCAGUUGCAUUCAUUUGUUCAGCUAAGCAAUAAAAUAACCCUUUUCCAUUUUAACUUAUAUACUUUGGCAUGGUAACUUUAAAUAACACCCUCAACUUGACAAAUUUUAAUAACCAAAGCGAUCAAUAACUGUAAAUCUUGACAAAAUUUUUUACUUUAGUUAAAGCCAUAAACAUAGUAUUAAAUAAAAUGAAAAAAAAGGCCAUAAACAUAGUGUUGAAAUACCUUUAUACUUGUGAACUAACUUUUGAUGUUGAUUAAGCUCAUGUACCCUCAACUUUUGUAUUAUGAAUAUGCUUAUGCCCUAUCUUAGGUCUCCUCUAUGAACUCCUCCAUGAACCACUUUUUUUUUUUUUUUUAAAAAAUAAAUUCAUUAUGAUACUAAGGUAUAAGCAGAAGUAAAAUUCCUUUAAUAUUAUUGUAAUCAGGAUGUGGCUACCUAGGUGAUACAUGAAUUGGUUAUUUGUACAUUUUACUACAUUUUUUUGAGUUUGCUUGCUAUUUUUCUCUUUGUUCCAAUAAUUCCCACACGAGGAUAAUCUCAUUUUAACAAAGAAAGAUACUACUGAAAUACAACAAAACAUAAAUUCUAAUAUACUAGAAAAUUUUUUUUUCUUUGCCUUUUCAUAUCUUAGAGUUAUGUUUUUAUCCUCUUGUAGUGGCAUAUAUGCAUUUUAACUAGAAUAUUCUUAUUUGAGAAUUAUUAAUAAGAGAGUGGUAGACAAAUGAUACAAAACUAUGCUGCUUCACGAUUAACAACACAUUCAAUCGAGUAACGAUAGAGAGUCAAUUCUAACACCACGAGAAAGCAAACAAAAGUUGAAAUAUUUUAGCGAAUACCUUUUAAAGUUUGAAUUAAUAAUAAAAUUGUCCCAAAAAACUGCCUUAAUGGAAUUAAUGUGGAGAUUUAGUGGUAGGGUGCAUCAAUAUCAUUUUCCAGAAAAAAAAUAGUCAAAAUAUGAAAGGUUUGUUCUGCAGGUGGUUGAUAUUGCUGUACAUUAAUAUCAAUGAUACGUACCAAAUUCUAUUAUAAAAUUCAUUAAUGUAUAAGUAGAAUAUUUAAUAAAUUAAUUCCGGGUAAAACGUCGGUGAUAUGAACAGUAGCGAAGCUGCAACCGGGUUAGCUUUUUUUUUUAAUAAAAAAAUAGUUAAUUAUAAUUUAUGAAUUUGCCUUUAUUAAUACUUAAAAAAAUAAAAAUAAAUUUAAUAGCCCACCCCGAUGCUAGCUAAGCUAAAAAUAAAAUAUAUCGAAUAAAUGGUGAAGAGAAAGCUGUAAUAAUUAUCGUAAUUACAGUGAGAAGCUGUAAUUUUCUUGAACACGCUUUGACGUACGAUUAGCAAAAAAGUCGUCUGUCUAUAAGCAAUUGGCCGUACAGCAUCUUAACUAUUCCGUUGACAUUGUAAUUAAUUAAUUGAUGACUUUUCUAUAAUUUCUUUGAACCAAAUGCAGAUAUUUAGUGGGCAACCCGCAACCCUUGCUUGGCAAAAUAUAGGAAAGAAAAACUUGAAAUUUAUAAAUGUUACAUUUUGUUUGGAUGAAUAAUUUUGAGAUAAUGUUUCAGUUUUAGAUUUUGUUACCGAUACCUAAUUAUAAUAAUAAAAAAUAUUGCAUCAUUUUUUUACCAACAGUUACAAUACAUUUUAUUUUUUUUUCUUCUCAAUAUUUAAACUCGAAUAAUCAGUUAAAAGUUGCUCGAGAAUGUUUAAAAGCCAUUUAAGUAUACCACGUCAUUCAUGUUUUGCAAUCAUUCAAUUGUUAAUAAGUUUCCCAUGUGCUGAAAAUAAAUAAAAAUGCACGUGCAUAUGUCAUAUUGUCUCCGAAACCUCACAGCGGAAUGAGUGUAGUACUUGCAAUGCAUGUACUUUAGACUUUGUAUUUCUCUUAUUUAAAUGAUCAAUAAUUUUUCUUUGUCCUUUAAUUAGACGUCAACAGUCGAAGUUGUGGGCAAGUAGUAGGCUAUAUAUAAUAAUUUCCUGGAGAUCUUCCGUCUUCUAAGACAUUGCAAAUGCCAAACGUGAUAACUAUUUUGAUAAUUCAAAUACUACAUAAAAUAUAUGAAGUGUCAGACAAGUCAAAAGAAUUGAUUCUUCACAAUUGUAUAUACGUAUACACACACUUUGCCCAAAUCCCAUUGUAUCCAGGCUGUAAUUUUUAUAUUAAACGAACAUAUUUUAUUUUAUGUCAGCAAUAUUGAUGCAGGCUGGUGGAACAACAGCUUCAGGAUGGUCAACUACCCUUCGGAUCAUUGCAAGUGGGAUGGCAUCACUUGCAAUUCAGAUGGAACCAUAAUCGGGCUAAAAUUAUCAGGGUAUGAUGUUGACUUCAAAAGGUAGUCUUCGUAAAAUUAUCAUGGUAUAAUAUACGUAUUUAUUUUCGCAUACAUAAAUAAAUAACAAAAUUGUAAUUAAUUGGAUACAACUUCAGCUUUUGGACUGGUUUGUGAAAAUCGGAAAAAUUUAAAAAUGCUCCUCUUGAACAAUCAAAAUCUACUUUAUACGUGAACAAAGGGGAUGAUUCGUAAAGAUAAUUCAUCAAUGUUUGAUUACUUUCAGAAAGAUAGACUUCAUUUGAUCUCGUCCCAAAGCAUAAUUUCACUUUGAAUUUGAAAAAGAAUAAUGAAGUUCAUACGAUGCUGUUGUGACCUUUUUUUUUUGUUUUCUUUUUUUCUCGACGUUGUUUUGUGAAUCAUAAGGGUUAAUUUAGUACGGUGGGUUCGCUUGUAUGAAGCGUACUUAUUGUACCAUUCUGUUGCAAGUAAUGAAAAAACGCUAUAAUUUUUUUUAGGUUUCUACAAGUAUUAUGUUAUCUUAUAUCUAACUGUGCAUCUCUAUUCUUUGCUCUCAGUUCAGGUUCUCUAAAAGUAUAUUAAUUAUGAAAAGCAUUAAAGGUUCCGAAACUCUAUUUUGCGGGGAAAAAGAACCUCCAUUUUUGGUUUUUUAUUAUCAUAAGAGGUUUUACUAUGCUCGUAAUAACUUAAUCGAAAUUAAACAUAUCACUGGUCUACAUUUUUUUAUCAGAUUUUGUGCCUUGCUAAUUAAGAUGAGUAUCACCAUCAAAUCAACAAGCUUAUACCUUCAAAGAAAAAUAGACUAUAAGUCGGGAGAAAGAAGAAGAAAAAAAAAAAGAAGCUUCGCAAUUUAUGCUGUUGGUUGUGAGUUCAUGAAACAAAUAAAAAUAUGAAAUCAAACAUUUAUUCAAAAUUUAAAAUUAAAAAAAAAACUCUAUAUCUACAGUAAUCUGUUCAAACCACAUAGGUGGAGCAAUAUAGUUCCAAGACGUGGUUUUAAAACAUGUCUUUGUGAUAAACAAUAUCGUGAUACUUGCGCCAAUUCCCAUGGCAAUAAUUGCCUACAUUUAUCCAAGAUCCAUGGCCAGGUUUAGAAUGUGCUAGUCUUCUUUCACUUUCAUAAAUAACCACUACUAGGUAAUCAGAGUGUCGGUCUAAAUUUUUCGGAGAUACAACGUCAAUGUAUGUGCCCGGAGUUGAAGCUGAACGCGCUUAAAUAUGUUCGGAAUUUGAAGUUGAACGCCUGGAAAAGGAUGCAGACUGAAGAAAGGCAAUUCCUGGAAUUUGUCUUUGGUAAGAAAACAUGGCUGCUUAUGCCCUUUGAAAGACUGAAGAAACCAAAUUGAUUAUUGCUGCAAUUUAGUGGCACAUGUACGAGGAGAGGCAUCCAAUUAAACUUGUUCAUAAAAGUAUUGCUGAUAGUUGCAGCCGAUCUCCAGACAAAAUCUUCGUACAAUUUUAUCCGCCAGCAAUUUCGACCAAGAGACCUUGAUGCAGUUCAGACCAAUUCGCCAGUUGAACAUCAAGUUGCCUAGGCAUUGAGAAUUAGGUCAAUAAAAUAUAUCCUGGGUCACUUACAAAAGAUGAAAUAAGUGAAAAAGGAAAGAUGACGUAAUAAUUUCUUAGUGAGAAAAGUUAGUUAAUUUUCAAUUGCUUUCAUUGUUUUGAUAAUUUUCAAAACAUUUCAUUGCUUUCAUUGCGUAAUUAAGCUUUUUUUGCUUCAAAAUAUUUCAAAUUGUGUUUGUGGGACUACUAAACAAUUAGGACACAACAAUGUUUCGUUCUGGUCUUUUUUUUUUUUUACUUUUUAAUUUAUUUUAAGAAAAUCUUUGUCCAUCUCUCAUCCUGCCAAAUAUAUCGUCUCGUCUUGUUAUCUAGAAUAAUUCUUCAUGCAUCAAUGAGUUUUGACAAAUUUUUAUCUUUUAAAAGUUGUUGUAAUUCAAUAUAGCUAAAAUCUUAAAUACAUACAUGUAGAAUAAUCUAAGCAUUACCUUAUUCGGGGAAAAUCGAGAUUAGAAUCAAUCAAAGCAAUGAUACCUUAUAUCAGUGAGAUAUAUGCAAGACUCACCCAUUGGUACAAACGAAAAUGAUCAAAGUGGAAGCAAAAAUGGAAUCCUCAAAUGUGGUGAUAAUUUAGAUGAUCUCCACUCUCCAUUUGGUUUCAUCUAAUAAGUUAGUGUUUAAUUAAGAAUUUAUUACUCAUUUUAUUAUGAUAUUAAUCAACUGCCGUCCCUUCCAUUAGUUCAUUAUUUUUGAUGGAUUACGAAAGACAGACAAUAAAAUUCUCCAAAACUGUUGUAAGAGUAAUAUUGUAAAAGUUACAUAAAAGUGAGGAUAAGGAUAAUUUGAGGUAUGUUUCAAGAUAUAAAGAUUAAAUAAAUUCUUAACUCAAAAUAAAGAGAUUUAUUUUUUUUAAAAGAGAUUAAAAUGUCAUGAUAAAUAAAUAAGGGAGGUGAUAUUCUGGGCUCUCCCCUGGCUUUUUGUGAUAACAUCUUAAAUUAAUAUAAAUAGUUAAAAUUUUAUUAAAAAAUAAAUUUUUACCUAAUACUCUUUGACAUAGCUAGGAAUAUAGCCUACUUGCAAGAGACUUACAUUCGUUUGCACAGCCCUUUCGUGAAUAUAAAAUUGCUGCCGAAUAAGCAUCUAAUUAAAAGAAUUAGGAAUUUGUCAACGGUAUAAAUUAAAUAUAAAAAACGAGUAAAAGAAUUUGUCAAUGGGAUAUGGGGGGCUAUGGCUUCAAUCGUAGGGGUGGGCAAAUUUCGGAUUCCGAAUCCGAUCGGAUUUUGGAUAAUUCGGAUUGGGAAAAAAUCCAUCCAAAUUCAAUCCGAACCUUAAAUCUGUUUCGAUCCGAGAUAAUUUCGGAUCCGGAUCAGAUUCGGAUGAGUUUGAAUUUCAGAUUAUAUUUCAAGUUCGGAUUAUAUUUUGGAUUCGGAUUAAUUCGGGUUUGGGACCUUUUUACAAUUCUCACAAAAAAAUUAUGAAAUUUAUAAUUAAUGAAAAAUAAUUUCCAUGAUGCUGUCAACAAUAAUUAAUAUUUUGAAAACGCAAUAACGGAAUUUUCAAAAAAAAGAAAAAGAAAACACAGGAACGGUAUUGAUAAAGAAUUUUCAUUAGCCAUUUGUGACUGCUAACUAAAUUGUAACAACUAAGUAAAAUAUAAUAAUAAUAAUAAUACAUGCGGGUAUAUUCAAAGCAACUAAAUCACUUGCGAAUGAUCAAGACAAAUCGUAUAAACAAGUAAAAAAUUCAAAGUUUCAAACGCAAAUCGUCGGGGGCUAUCGGAUUAGUGGAUUACCAUUAACAAGACGAGGUUUAUGUCGGUGUGAGUUGCUCAUUGUGGGUCUGGAUGAUGUCGCGAUGGCUGGGUUUGUGCCAACUAUGAUCCAGCUAGGUUUGUAUCGAAUCUGAUCUCGUCUAGAGGACGUUGUGGCGGCUGGGUUUGUGUCGAAUUCAUUCGGUUUGUCUCGUCGGCGACAUGGUUGUUGGUUGGCUCGUCAGGUUGUGGCCCGUGGGUGUGGUGUGGUUUGUUGUCGUGGAUUGACUUAUCAAAGGGCGUGCGACGAUGGUGUGUGGUUUUGUCAUUUGGAAAUUGAGUUUUGAUUUUUCAUUUUCGUUUUUUUAAAAAAAAAUUUUUGGAUUAUUCGGAUUGAACUGAAUCUUAUCCGAUCCAAAUCAAAUCCGAUCAGAUUACAAAAAUUUCAUCCGAUUGGAUUUUAAAGCAAAUCCAAAUCCGAUCCGAACAAAUUCGGAUCGAAUUGGAUUAGAUCGGAUCUAUCCGAAUCUGAUCCAAUGUCCACCCCUAUUCAAUCGGUUUCUGCAAUGGUUAAUGGCAUAUUUUUGCUCAUCGUCACCACUGCAUUCACUAAUCAUUUGUGCACGUGAAUUGUUUUUGAGCAUUUAUUUUGCCUUCGUUAAAAUUGGGCAUGUAAAAAUUUCAUGAAAAAUGGCCAAAGUGGCUGGCUAGGUGAUAUAAUGGAUGGUUACAACUCAAACCUAGCAAUAAAUGAAUGUCCGACAAGCAUUCAAAUGAAUGUAUAAAACCAAUGAGAUUAGAAUAUCUAUUUAUAAUAGACUAAUUAAAAUACGAUUCAAAUAUAAGGUAAAUAGUCUCUCUAUUAAUUUUUUAUUGUUUCAGGUAGGGUUGUCGAGCCUUUGUCCGGGCUUCUGUAAGCCCAUUUCCAGCCCUCUUAUAUGAUUGGAUUAGAUCAGGCUCGGCCCACCAGGCCGGGCUAAAUCUUGAGCUCUUUUUAAAUAAAAAAAAGUUGAAUUUUAAGUUUUUGAAGUUAAUAUAUAUACACACACACUUGUACUUAAAUAAUUUAUAAAUUUUUUAAAAGCCAAAUAAUAAAAAUAUUGACAUGUAAAAGUACAAUUUUUUUUUCAUGUGGAAUAAUUAUCUCAUUUCUACCUUUUUGGUCCUAUAGAUAUUUCCUCAUUUCAUCUUUGGUAUUAGAGCAGUAGUAAAAAGACACACGAUUAAAGAUAAAUGUGACAUUUUUACCGACAAAUUAACUAUUUGGAUCUAAGAUCUAGCUCUAAUGGUAAAGACUAGUUUUUAUAGAAUUCAGGUCCUGGGUUUGACUUCCAAUUGCGUGGGUAAGCUAAUAAUAAUAAUAAUAAUAAUAACAAAUUAACUAGUUUUAAUUUGCAAAGGUCUUAGAUAAUCAAUUCGUUUGUAAAAACAUCAAAUUUAUUUUCAGUAAUGAAAUUUUCAAGUCACUGGUUUUAGCACUAGGAAUGAAUUAAAUAGAGUAAUGAUAAACAUCUUAAAAUUUUAUCCCAAAUGAUAUGACAUGUAAUGUGUCAUUUAUUAAGUGGUUGGUGAUUUUUCAUAAAUUUUAAGUCGAUUAAUUAUAUUAUUUCACCAACCAAUAAAUGAACAUCACAUCAUUUGAGAAUGAAUUUUAAGGUAAAAUUUUAGAUAUAUAUCAUUACUCAAUUAUUUUUUAUAGUAUAAAAUCUAAUAGGGACCAAAAAUAUAAAAACCAAUUAAGAAAAAAAAAGUCAAUUCCUAAUUAGAAGAAUGAAAGUGUCAUUCUCCUAUAAUCAUUUCUCAAGUUUUUAUAUAAAUUUAUUAAUGCAAAAUUUUAAAAGAAAAUCGGUACCUAAAACUAACGCCUUUGACAAUGCUGCCAAUAUCACUCACAACUUACAAGAAUAAAGAAUUUGUAUUAAAUUUAUUAAUGUUCUCAAAGAAUUUUUAGUUUUGACUUUACAUUCUCAGACCCAUUUGUCACAUAACAUCUUAGCUGAUUAACAAAGCCCUUUCGUGAGAAUAUUAAAACUGCUCUCGAAUAAGCAUCUUAACAACCCCGUUUUUGACAUACAUGCAUGCCUCCUCAUGUCAGCAAAUUUGAAACAUAAAAGAUAAUUUCAAUCGAUGUGAGAGUUGGGAGUAUUUUAUAGCUUUUGACCUCAUUAAUUAUGAGUAAGAGAAUAUUUCUACGUCACUAAUGAUUAAAAUGAUCACUAUAUAUAUAAAGGGUAGCAAAGUAUGUUUAACAUCAAGUCAGAAAACACAAUUUUUAGGAAAUGGGAACUCGGGGACAGGCGAGGCAAUGGCCUCAAUUGUUUUGUGCUAUAGCAUUUUUGCUUAUAGCCACCACGACCAAGGCAUCGGCUGAUGAUUAUGCCUCAGCACCACCACCAAAGUAUUCUUCUCCACCUCUUUACUACUACAAAUCACCACCUCCUCCUUCUCCCUCUCCACCUCCACCAUAUUAUUACAAGUCUCCCCCACCACCAUCUCCGUCUCCUCCACCACCUUACUACUACACGUCACCACCGCCACCAGUGCAUUCUCCCCCGCCACCUUACUACUACAAGUCACCACCGCCACCAGUGCAUUCUCCUCCGCCACCUUACUACUACAAAUCUCCGCCGCCACCAAAGCAUUCUCCCCCGCCACCUUACUACUAUAAGUCACCACCACCACCAGUGCAUUCUCCCCCGCCACCUUAUUACUACAAAUCUCCGCCGCCACCAAAGUAUUCUCCCCCGCCACCUUAUUAUUACAAAUCUCCGCCGCCACCAAAGCAUUCUCCUCCACCACCUUACUACUACAAAUCUCCACCACCACCAAACCAUUCUCCCCCACCACCUUACUACUAUAAGUCACCACCACCACCAAAGCAUUCUCCCCCACCUCCUUAUUACUACAAAUCUCCACCACCACCAAUGUAUUCUCCACCACCACCUUACUAAUACAAAUCUCCGCCAUCGCCAUCUCUAUCCCCGCCUCCAUCUUACAUUUAUAAAUUCCCACAACCAUCAUCUAUACCACCUCCACCAUGACCUCUAUCACGGUCAUUAUUGCUUCCUUACUACUCCAAGUCACCGCCAACUCCUUUAUCUCCACCUUCACCGUAUUACUACAAUCACCCCCACCUCCCAAAGACUACUACGUUCAGUAUCCCUUCUUGAAACAAGUUUAAAAUUCAAUAAGAAUAAAUUUGUUCCUUUGGUUGCCUUUUUUUUUAAUUUUUUACUAAGUUCAAUGCCCCUUCUUGAAACAAGUUUCAAAUUCAAUAAGAAUAAAUUUGUUCCUUUGGUUGCCUUUUUAUGCUUUUUUGUGUCAAUUUUUUUACAAAUAAUUUGUAAGAAGCGUUCAGUGCAUCAUUUGUCAUGUGCAAUAAAAAUCUUCUAACUUAAUGUAUCCCCAAAAAAAAAAAAAAAAAUUGUUCUAUAAGAAUUAUUCUAUUGUUUUAUCACAAAUGUGUUGUGGCGCAUAUAAUGCUCCCGGAUGAAGUAAUAUUAUGUCUUGAUGAACAAUCAUGCACAACAAUGAUCAUGUACAUAGUUCUUCCAACGUCAUGAUAAUGUCCAUGCACAUAAUAACAAACUUCUUCCUCAUAAUAUCAAAGAAAAUGAAGAUACAAGCCUCUUAUUCUUUAGUCAUUCACUCAAACAACAUUGUUUUAACUUAGGUUUUGAUCAAUCUUAAUGCUAAUAAAUGCUAACUACAUAUCAAAUACAAGAUCAACAAAAACCAGAUUUUAAAUUAAUCAGAAAAACAAACACUAGACUUAACCAAGCAGUUAAGCUUUAUUAUUCUCCCUCAGUAAAGGAUACAAAGAUGUAGGUGGAUUACAAGCUAUCACUGAAAAAAUAGAAAUCAUCUAAAAUGGUGAACAAAUGAGCUCUAAAUCUGUUGCACUCAUUUGUUCAACUAAGCAAUGAAAUUACCCUUUUCUAUUUUAACUGCUUGUCUACUUUAACACGGCAACUUUAAAUAACAACCUUCAACUUGAAAAAUUUGAGUAACCAGAGCCAUCAAUAACGGUAAAUCUUGACAAAAAUUUUAGUUUAAUUAAGGCCAUAAACAUAAUAUUAAAUAAUAAAAAAAAAAGGCCAUAAACAUAGUGUUGAAAUACCAUUAUACCUGUGAACGAACUUUUGAUGGUUAUUAAACUCAUGAACCCUCAAUUUUUGUAUUAUGAAUAUGCUCAUGGCCUAUCUUAGGUCUCCUCUAUGAACCACUUUUUUUUUAAAAAAAUUAUAUUCAUUAUGAUACUAAGGUAUAAGUAGAAGUAAAGUUCUUUUAAUAUUUUUGUAACCAGGAUGUGACAACCUAGGUGAUACGUGAAUUGGUUAUUUGCACAUUUUGCUACAUUUUUGUGAGUUUGCUUGCUGGUUUUCUCUUUGUUCCAACAAUUCACACAUAGGAUAAUCUCAUUUUAACAAAGAAAGAUACCACUAAAAUACAACAAAACAUGAUCAAUUCUAAUAUACUAGAAAACUUUUUUUUUUUGUUUGCCUUUUCAUAUAUUAGAGUUGUGUUUUUGUUAUCUUAUAGUGGCAUCUAUGCAGUUUAACUAAAUGAGAAUAUUCUCAUUUGAGAAUUAUUAAUAAGAGAGUAGUAGACAAAUGAUACCCAACUAUACUGCUUCACUAUUAACAACACAUCCAAUUGAGUAAUGAUAGAGAGUCAAUUCUAUCACCAAAUGAAAGCAAACAAAAGCUGAAAUAUUUUAGUGAAUAUCUUUAAAGUUUGAAUUAAUAAUAAAAUUGUCCCAAAAAACUGUCUUAAUGGAACUAAUGUGCGAUUUAUUUGUAGGGUGAAUAAAUAUCAUUUUCCAGAAAAAAAUAUAGUCAAAAUAUGGAAAGCUUGUUCUGCAAGUGGUUGAUAUUGAUGUACAUUAAUGUCAAAGAUACAUUAAGUGCAUGCCAAAUUCUAUUAUAAAAUUUAUAAAUGUAUAAGUAGAAGAUUUUAUAAAUUAAUUCCUGUAAAACGUCGGUUAUAUGAAUAAAUGGUGAAGAGAAAGCUGUAAUAAUUAUCGUAAUUACAAUUUUCUUGAGCACGCUUUGACGUACGAUUAACAAAAAAGGUCUGUAUAUGAGCAAUCGGCCGUACAUUAUCUUAACCACCUGAUUUUGUUUUUUUUUUUUGUAAUUUCAAUCUUGGCCGUUGGAGUCAAUGAAAAGAUCGUUCAAAUGGUAGAGAUUUGUCUAUUUGAUUAUUAACAUUAUGCUUCCCGAUGGUUAUCAAAAACCCAAACAAAUUAAAGAGUUAAAACUUUUAGCACAUAAGUCCGAAUUGUUUCAAAUUUAUGUUGUUUAAUCACUAGUGAGUCUCAAAAAAUAAAUUUAUUUUAAUAUUAUAUAUUUUAUUUAAAAGAAUUAAUUUUUUAUAUCAUUUAUUUUAUUAAAAAUAAAUAUUAUUGAAUACUAAUUAUUCUCAUUUUAUUUAAUAUUAUUUAGUUAUAGGCUUAUUAUUAUAUUUAAUUGUUCAAAAAACUAAAAAAAUUUAAAUAAAAUAAAGUAAUUGAUGGUUGUCGAAGCCAACAAAAAUAAAUUCCUACUCUAAAUAAAUUGUGUAUAGUGAUUGAGCAGGGUCGUGUCCACAGAGAUCGGUAAUUAUUUAAAUCCUUUUGAAACGUAAAACGUAAAAUGGGGGAAUUGUUGACAAUAAUAAAAAUCAAAUUAAAAUAACAAGAAUGCAAAUUAAAGUUGUAAUUCAAAUUGGAGAAAGCUCUGGUUGAAGGAAUUAACUCAGCUUGAUUCGACUACUGAUCAUUGAUUCAAAUAUAGAUUAUUAUUACUCAUGAAUAGACCGGUUAUAGCUACUGAGACCCUCUAAUAGCCAAUCUCUCCUUAACUAGUCGAUAACCAAGGUACGACCGUUGGAUAUUCCCUAAUCAAUAGACAACCCUAGAUACGAUCAUAGAAUUUAAUCAAUUGACAGCCUGAAAAACCAGAAAGACCCAAAUCCUAAUCAACACAUAUGAUGAUUCAUUUAAAUUAAAUUGUUUAUUCUCACAACACAACUCUCUGCUAUGUCAUUUGUCACAAACAUUAAAUUCUUCAUACGAUGAAUCCCUUAAUUGACAAUAGAUUAAGUUGAUAAUUAAAUAGUGGCCAACUGCUGUACGGCCAAGGCGGAUGUACGGUACAGCAGAAUACAUUCCCUUACUCAACUAACAAAGUCUUUCAUUUAUCUGAAAACAGUUCCAAUUUUGAAAUAUCAGUGUCAAACUUUUCCCAGCAACAUAUUUAUCAUCUCUCCACAUUAUCCUUAACUGACAGCAGCUUGGAAGAUCUUCAAUCAGCAAGUUCAGAAAGCAAUGAACAAGUACCUUCUGUUUCUGCACACACAAAUAAUCUGCAUCAACAAGAGCAUUCUNNNNNNNNNNNNNNNNNNNNNNNNNNNNNNNNNNNNNNNNNNNNNNNNNNNNNNNNNNNNNNNNNNNNNNNNNNNNNNNNNNNNNNNNNNNNNNNNNNNNNNNNNNNNNNNNNNNNNNNNNNNNNNNNNNNNNNNNNNNNNNNNNNNNNNNNNNNNNNNNNNNNNNNNNNNNNNNNNNNNNNNNNNNNNNNNNNNNNNNNNNNNNNNNNNNNNNNNNNNNNNNNNNNNNNNNNNNNNNNNNNNNNCAGCAGAAUAAAAUAUUAUUAAUUUUAUUUUUUUUAUUUUGCUAUCUUACUAAUAAUUGGCAAUAAUAAUAAUAAUAAUAAUAAUAAUAAUAAUAUCUUUAAGGUUAAUGAUUUUAUUUUCUAAUUAAUAUGGAUAAUUUUAGAUUUUUAUAAUAUAUAUGACGAUAAACACGAAAUUAAGUAUAAAACUAAUUCUCAAAAUCCGAUUUUAAAAAUCUACUUUUUCCCUACUUUUUAAAAUCUUCAGUAAGAUAAGGUAAAUUUACCAAAAGUGAUUUCUGAAAAUAUUUAUCAAAUAAUAAAAUUAAUUUGUAACUUUUCAAAAUAACUUUUAAAUCUCGCAAAAAAAAAUCCUAAAUGAGUCCUAAGUACCUAACUUUAUGACGGUCAACAAAUAUGGUAUAAAAGUCUUCUACACCUACUGGGCAUUUGAAUGGGCCAUCUGUCUUAGCUCUUACCUCUUAAAAUGGGCUAAAAAUCAGAGAGUCAGUUAACUAAUAUGGGCUAAAAUUUGGGUACACCUCUCGGGCAUGUUAAUGGGCCAUCAUCUUUCACAGGUUUCUAAAGGGUAAAGGCUUUCUGUCUCCCAAGACUUCGACUAGUGAAAUUUAAUCGAUAUAAAUAUGUAGCUACCUAUAUUUAUAUAAGAAAAUGAUGUUCUCAUAAAUUUGCGUGCAAAGAUUUGCACAAAACGGUGCGUUUUGUGCAGCUUUAAAAAUGCUCUUCGUACGUGCACCAAACAACACACAAGCACGCCAAUUCACAACAUCAUUUUCCCACUCGCGUCUGCCUCCUUUCACUGCAACAAAAACCCAGCAGCUUCGUUCUCCACACAGCAAGAAGUCUCCUUAUUAAUAUAAUAUUAUAUAAUAAACUCAACAGAAGUCUCCUUUCUUCCUCCAUUUUUCCUCACGAGAUAGCUCCGAUCUCUCUCCCUCCGUCCUCCUUUCUUCCUUACAAGACAGCUCGGGUCUCUCUCUCUGGCCUCCUUUCUCCCUCACAAGAUAGUUCGGAUCUCUCUUUCCAGUCUCCACGCCGCUAAUAGUCCCAGUUCUAACCUCUCUCGCCCCGCAGCAACCAUAAGAUCUCUCUCUCACCCGUUUCAAUUCAUUGCUCUAAUUGAAAUCUUUAACUCGUUUAGGACAUUGUGCUGAAUUACCUAUGGAUGGUGGUGGUCUUAUGCUUGAGUGUUGUAAAUUAGAAUCAAAUUAUGCAAAACCUGAUGCCUUUGGGAAUCAUGUUUAUUUCAAGCUUCUAUGUUGUGAUUUGAUUAUUUGAUGAAGCACCUGGAAAAUGUAGUUUGCUCCCUCAAAUUAUUUUACUCUGUUGAAUAAAUUGUAUUUGCCAUUAUUUGAAAAGAAUUUAAAAAAAAAUUACAGCCCCGAAACAUUGAGCUUAUGCUAUAAUUUAAGCAUCUCCCUCAUUUAUAGCACAUUUAUUUUCAUAAUUUACGCGACAAUGGAGAACGGAGCCGAGACUGUUAGUGGCAUGGGGAUGAGAGAGAAAAAUAUGAGCUGUUUCGUGAGGUUUUGUUAGGUUUCGUGAGGGAGAAAGGAGAUGGGAGAGAGAGACGCUGAGUUUUGUUGCUCCCCUCACUUGUGUGUGUUUGGUGUUAAAACUUUGCAGCAAAGAGUGGCUUUUAUACUUUGCACAAAACGCACCGUUUUGUGCAAAGUUUUGUGCAAAGUGUUGUGAGAACAUCAUUUUCCAUUUAAAUAUUGGCUUUUCAUUUUUUUUCAAAUGAGAAUUGAUCCAGUGUGCACCAUCAUGCACAGCACAAGGUAUAUUUUCAUCAGUGGGCGCUAGGUCUCAUAGAUUGGUUCUCUCUAAUAAGAACAUGUCGUCUGUUGUCCCGCGCUAGAUCGAAUGCGUUUUCAAAUUUGUCAAAUUACAUUUUGAGCAUGUCAUAGUGGACGUUAUUACAAAGUCGUCAAUCUCAAUACAAUAAUCAUGACAUCAGGUUUUGAGAAUGUGAAUAAAACUCAUAUUUAUUUGAUAAAAUAUAAUUUAAAAAUAAAAAUAAAAUAUGUAUAUUCUAUAUAAUUUGAUAAUAAAAAAUAGAAAUCUCAUUUUUAUAUUGGGUUGGGAAUGAGGAUUCCUAUUUCUUGAACUGACUUUUAUAUCUCUCUAUUUUUUUCAUAUUUUUUAAAUUAUUCUCGUUUAAAUCACAAUUAAUUUGAUUACUGCUGUACGGCCAAGGCGGAUGCAAUAGAAUUGCACCUACAAAAGUAAAACAUAAGUAAAUCACUAUUAUUAAGUGCAAAACAUUGAUAUUAAGGGAAGUAAAUAAUGCAAAACUAGUGCAUAAAUUGCACUCUAACAGUAAUCAGUAAUCAGCAUUAAAAAUUAAAUUAAAUUAAAUUUUUUUGUUUUUAAUAUUAUUUAGUUAUAGACUUAUUAUUAUAUUUAUUCGUUCAUAAAACUAAAUAAUGUUAAAUCAAAUAAAAUAAUCAGGAAUGGUUCUUAAAAAAUUAAUAUUAUUUAUUUUAUUUUAUUUAAUAUUAUUUAGUCAUAGCCUAUUAUUCUGUUUAUUUUUUGAAAAUUAAAUAAUAUUAAAUAAAAAUCCCCCCUUUUCACAAUAGAUUCCUCCCUUCAAUACUCUCUCUCUCCUCUCUUUUAGAAUUCUAUUUAAAAUAAAAUACUAAUAUCUGAAAUAUUAAAUUCGUAAUUACAAAAAUAACCAAAAAUACAAAAUACGUUAAACUAAAAACUGCAGGUCCGCAGUUGACAGCACGCGCCCACGCCUUAUCAACAAAGUUCUUCUGACGCUCAUAAUUUCUCCAAGAGAACAAUCAUCCUUAAACAUCAUCUUAUAGCUCAAUUUUAUCAUCAAUCAAUAGAAUUACACCUACAAAAGUAAAACACAAGUAAAACAUUAUUAUUAAGUGCAAAACAUCGAUAUUAAGGGAAGUAAACAAUGCAAAACUAGUGCAUAAAUUGCACUCUAACAAAUUCCCCCACACCAAGAUGAUGCUUGUCCUCAAGCAUAUAACUCAAGACUAAUCUCAAAUCUCCACUAAAUUCUCAUCUCAACUCAUCCAAAAAUAAUUUUAAGCAAGCAUACCUCAAGAAAUUAAGUCGAUCAACAUUCGAGAGACAAGGAUUUUUAAAGCAUAGAAUCUCAUAAGAUAGAAUAAGAACAUUCAACCACCAAGAAGAUCCAUUCAAAAUUCAAGUGCAACAAGAUGUAAUAGCCCUCUCAAUAACUUCACUCCAUGCACUCAAAGUGUUUAGGGUAUCAUUUAUGCACUCAAAUCAAAUCAAAGAAUGCUAUUACCAUAAGCUUGCUCAUAUAUCACAUCUCAAUCCACAAAACAUGAAUAAAAUGAAAAAAUCUAAGGGUCUUAAAAGGGUUGUAAUGGGGUUAAAUAGGUUAAAUGAAAAAGAAAGGUCUAUGAAAGAAAAAGAGAUCAAAAUGAGAAGAAUGAACUCAUUGAAUGAACUUAUGAUAUCAAAAUGCUCCUUGGCCGUACAGCAGGAAUGGUUCUUAAAAAAUUAAUAUUAUUUAUUUUAUUUUAUUUAAUAUUAUUUAGUCAUAGCCUAUUAUUCUGUUUAUUUUUUGAAAAUUAAAUAAUAUUAAAUAAAAUAGAAUAGAAAAUGUGAGUCCUUAAAAAUAAAAAUUAUUUUUAAUAUUAUUUAUUUUAUUUAAAAGAAUAAAUUUUUUAAUAUUUUUAUUUUAUUAAAAAAUAUUAUUUAAUAUUAUCUAGUCAUAGGCUUAUUAUUAUAUUUCUUCUUUUAGAAAGUUAAAUAGUAUUAAAUGAAAUAAAAUUACAUUUUAGAAGGUCAUUAGCCAAAGCACAUAAACUUAUAAACAAAUGGAAAUAAAAAAGGUAAAUAAUAUUCAAUAAAAUAAAAUUACAUUUUAAAAGGUCACCAACCAAAGCACAUAAUAUUAUAACAAAAAUGUAAAUAAAAAAGAAAGUAAGAGAUUCAAUGAAAUUUAACAUCACAAAAGACAAUUUCAAAAAUUGGGGGUAGCUUGCAACUGUUGCAAAGUGGCUGGUUCCAUAAUUUUGAGAUAAUGUUUCGGUUUCAAAUAUUGUUAUCGAUACCUAAUUAUAAGUAAUAAAAAAAUAUUGUAUAAUUUUUUUACCAACAUUUACAAUACAUUUUAUUUUGAUUUCUGAAAAAAAUAGAUAAAACACAAAUUAAUUAUUUUAACCCUCUAUUCUCUCAAUAUUUAAACUCGAAUAAUCAGUUAAAAGUUGCUCGAGAAUGUUUAAAAGCCAUUUAAGUAUACCACGUCAUUCAUGUUUUGCAAUCAUUCAAUUGUUAAUAAGUUUCCCAUGUGCUGAAAAUAAAUAAAAAUGCACGUGCAUAUGUCAUAUUGUCUCCGAAACCUCACAGCGGAAUGAGUGUAGUACUUGCAAUGCAUGUACUUUAGACUUUGUAUUUCUCUUAUUUAAAUGAUCAAUAAUUUUUCUUUGUCCUUUAAUUAGACGUCAACAGUCGAAGUUGUGGGCAAGUAGUAGGCUAUAUAUAAUAAUUUCCUGGAGAUCUUCCGUCUUCUAAGACAUUGCAAAUGCCAAACGUGAUAACUAUUUUGAUAAUUCAAAUACUACAUAAAAUAUAUGAAGUGUCAGACAAGUCAAAAGAAUUGAUUCUUCACAAUUGUAUAUACGUAUACACACACUUUGCCCAAAUCCCAUUGUAUCCAGGCUGUAAUUUUUAUAUUAAACGAACAUAUUUUAUUUUAUGUCAGCAAUAUUGAUGCAGGCUGGUGGAACAACAGCUUCAGGAUGGUCAACUACCCUUCGGAUCAUUGCAAGUGGGAUGGCAUCACUUGCAAUUCAGAUGGAACCAUAAUCGGGCUAAAAUUAUCAGGGUAUGAUGUUGACUUCAAAAGGUAGUCUUCGUAAAAUUAUCAUGGUAUAAUAUACGUAUUUAUUUUCGCAUACAUAAAUAAAUAACAAAAUUGUAAUUAAUUGGAUACAACUUCAGCUUUUGGACUGGUUUGUGAAAAUCGGAAAAAUUUAAAAAUGCUCCUCUUGAACAAUCAAAAUCUACUUUAUACGUGAACAAAGGGGAUGAUUCGUAAAGAUAAUUCAUCAAUGUUUGAUUACUUUCAGAAAGAUAGACUUCAUUUGAUCUCGUCCCAAAGCAUAAUUUCACUUUGAAUUUGAAAAAGAAUAAUGAAGUUCAUACGAUGCUGUUGUGACCUUUUUUUUUUGUUUUCUUUUUUUCUCGACGUUGUUUUGUGAAUCAUAAGGGUUAAUUUAGUACGGUGGGUUCGCUUGUAUGAAGCGUACUUAUUGUACCAUUCUGUUGCAAGUAAUGAAAAAACGCUAUAAUUUUUUUUAGGUUUCUACAAGUAUUAUGUUAUCUUAUAUCUAACUGUGCAUCUCUAUUCUUUGCUCUCAGUUCAGGUUCUCUAAAAGUAUAUUAAUUAUGAAAAGCAUUAAAGGUUCCGAAACUCUAUUUUGCGGGGAAAAAGAACCUCCAUUUUUGGUUUUUUAUUAUCAUAAGAGGUUUUACUAUGCUCGUAAUAACUUAAUCGAAAUUAAACAUAUCACUGGUCUACAUUUUUUUAUCAGAUUUUGUGCCUUGCUAAUUAAGAUGAGUAUCACCAUCAAAUCAACAAGCUUAUACCUUCAAAGAAAAAUAGACUAUAAGUCGGGAGAAAGAAGAAGAAAAAAAAAAAGAAGCUUCGCAAUUUAUGCUGUUGGUUGUGAGUUCAUGAAACAAAUAAAAAUAUGAAAUCAAACAUUUAUCCAAAAUUUAAAAUUAAAAAAAAACUCUAUAUCUACAGUAAUCUGUUCAAACCACAUAGGUGGAGCAAUAGAGUUCCAAGACGUGGUUUUAAAACAUGUCUUUGUGAUAAACAAUAUCGUGAUACUUGCGCCAAUUCCCAUGCCAAUAAUUGCCUACAUUUAUCCAAGAUCCAUGGCCAGGUUUAGAAUGUGCUAGUCUUCUUUCACUUUCAUAAAUAACCACUACUAGGUAAUCAGAGUGUCGGUCUAAAUUUUUCGGAGAUACAACGUCAAUGUAUGUGCCCGGAGUUGAAGCUGAACGCGCUUAAAUAUGUUCGGAAUUUGAAGUUGAACGCCUGGAAAAGGAUGCAGACUGAAGAAAGGCAAUUCCUGGAAUUUGUCUUUGGUAAGAAAACAUGGCUGCUUAUGCCCUUUGAAAGACUGAAGAAACCAAAUUGAUUAUUGCUGCAAUUUAGUGGCACGUGUACAAGGAGAGGCAUCCGAUUAAACUUGUUCAUAAAAUUAUUGCUGAUAGUUGCAGCCGAUCUCCAUGAAGUACAAACCCAACGCAAAGAAACAAAGUGUUCGUACAAUUUUAUCCGCCAGCAAUUUCGACCAAGAGACCUUGAUGCAGUUCAGACCAAUUCGCCAGUUGAACAUCAAGUUGCCUAGGCAUUGAGAAUUAGGUCAAUAAAAUAUAUCCUGGGUCACUUACAAAAGAUGAAAUAAGUGAAAAAGGAAAGAUGACGUAAUAAUUUCUUAGUGAGAAAAGUUAGUUAAUUUUCAAUUGCUUUCAUUGUUUUGAUAAUUUUCAAAACAUUUCAUUGCUUUCAUUGCGUAAUUAAGCUUUUUUUGCUUCAAAAUAUUUCAAAUUGUGUUUGUGGGACUACUAAACAAUUAGGACACAACAAUGUUUCGUUCUGGUCUUUUUUUUUUUUUACUUUUUAAUUUAUUUUAAGAAAAUCUUUGUCCAUCUCUCAUCCUGCCAAAUAUAUCGUCUCGUCUUGUUAUCUAGAAUAAUUCUUCAUGCAUCAAUGAGUUUUGACAAAUUUUUAUCUUUUAAAAGUUGUUGUAAUUCAAUAUAGCUAAAAUCUUAAAUACAUACAUGUAGAAUAAUCUAAGCAUUACCUUAUUCGGGGAAAAUCGAGAUUAGAAUCAAUCAAAGCAAUGAUACCUUAUAUCAGUGAGAUAUAUGCAAGACUCACCCAUUGGUACAAACGAAAAUGAUCAAAGUGGAAGCAAAAAUGGAAUCCUCAAAUGUGGUGAUAAUUUAGAUGAUCUCCACUCUCCAUUUGGUUUCAUCUAAUAAGUUAGUGUUUAAUUAAGAAUUUAUUACUCAUUUUAUUAUGAUAUUAAUCAACUGCCGUCCCUUCCAUUAGUUCAUUAUUUUUGAUGGAUUACGAAAGACAGACAAUAAAAUUCUCCAAAACUGUUGUAAGAGUAAUAUUGUAAAAGUUACAUAAAAGUGAGGAUAAGGAUAAUUUGAGGUAUGUUUCAAGAUAUAAAGAUUAAAUAAAUUCUUAACUCAAAAUAAAGAGAUUUAUUUUUUUUAAAAGAGAUUAAAAUGUCAUGAUAAAUAAAUAAGGGAGGUGAUAUUCUGGGCUCUCCCCUGGCUUUUUGUGAUAACAUCUUAAAUUAAUAUAAAUAGUUAAAAUUUUAUUAAAAAAUAAAUUUUUACCUAAUACUCUUUGACAUAGCUAGGAAUAUAGCCUACUUGCAAGAGACUUACAUUCGUUUGCACAGCCCUUUCGUGAAUAUAAAAUUGCUGCCGAAUAAGCAUCUAAUUAAAAGAAUUAGGAAUUUGUCAACGGUAUAAAUUAAAUAUAAAAAACGAGUAAAAGAAUUUGUCAAUGGGAUAUGGGGGGCUAUGGCUUCAAUCGUAGGGGUGGGCAAAUUUCGGAUUCCGAAUCCGAUCGGAUUUUGGAUAAUUCGGAUUGGGAAAAAAUCCAUCCAAAUUCAAUCCGAACCUUAAAUCUGUUUCGAUCCGAGAUAAUUUCGGAUCCGGAUCAGAUUCGGAUGAGUUUGAAUUUCAGAUUAUAUUUCAAGUUCGGAUUAUAUUUUGGAUUCGGAUUAAUUCGGGUUUGGGACCUUUUUACAAUUCUCACAAAAAAAUUAUGAAAUUUAUAAUUAAUGAAAAAUAAUUUCCAUGAUGCUGUCAACAAUAAUUAAUAUUUUGAAAACGCAAUAACGGAAUUUUCAAAAAAAAGAAAAAGAAAACACAGGAACGGUAUUGAUAAAGAAUUUUCAUUAGCCAUUUGUGACUGCUAACUAAAUUGUAACAACUAAGUAAAAUAUAAUAAUAAUAAUAAUACAUGCGGGUAUAUUCAAAGCAACUAAAUCACUUGCGAAUGAUCAAGACAAAUCGUAUAAACAAGUAAAAAAUUCAAAGUUUCAAACGCAAAUCGUCGGGGGCUAUCGGAUUAGUGGAUUACCAUUAACAAGACGAGGUUUAUGUCGGUGUGAGUUGCUCAUUGUGGGUCUGGAUGAUGUCGCGAUGGCUGGGUUUGUGCCAACUAUGAUCCAGCUAGGUUUGUAUCGAAUCUGAUCUCGUCUAGAGGACGUUGUGGCGGCUGGGUUUGUGUCGAAUUCAUUCGGUUUGUCUCGUCGGCGACAUGGUUGUUGGUUGGCUCGUCAGGUUGUGGCCCGUGGGUGUGGUGUGGUUUGUUGUCGUGGAUUGACUUAUCAAAGGGCGUGCGACGAUGGUGUGUGGUUUUGUCAUUUGGAAAUUGAGUUUUGAUUUUUCAUUUUCGUUUUUUUAAAAAAAAAUUUUUGGAUUAUUCGGAUUGAACUGAAUCUUAUCCGAUCCAAAUCAAAUCCGAUCAGAUUACAAAAAUUUCAUCCGAUUGGAUUUUAAAGCAAAUCCAAAUCCGAUCCGAACAAAUUCGGAUCGAAUUGGAUUAGAUCGGAUCUAUCCGAAUCUGAUCCAAUGUCCACCCCUAUUCAAUCGGUUUCUGCAAUGGUUAAUGGCAUAUUUUUGCUCAUCGUCACCACUGAAUCCACUGAUCAUUUGUGCAUGUGAGUUGUUUUUGAGCAUUUAUUUUUCCCUUUAGAAGCAUAAGGAUAAGGCUAGUCUUCUUUUUGGGAGGACUUAUUGCUUCCAUUCGUUAAAAUUGGGCAUGUAAAAUGUCAAGAAAAAAUGGCCUAAGUGGCUAGCUAGAUGAUAUAAUGGAUGGUUACUACUCAAACCUAGCAAUAAAUGAAUGUCCGACAAGCAUUCAAAUGAAUGAAUAAAACCAAUCAGAUUAGAAUAUCUAUUUAUGAUAGAUUAAUGAAAAUACGAUUCAAAUAUAAGGUAAAUAAUCUCUCCAUUAAUUUUUUAUUGUUUCAGGCAGGGUUGCCAAGCCUCUGUCCGGGCUUCUAUAAGCUCAAUUCCAGCUCUCCUAUAUGAUUGAAUUAGAUCGGGCUAGGCCCUCGGACUUUUUAAUUAAAAAAGGUCGAUUUUUAAGUUUAUGAAGUUAAUACACUCACGCUUAUACUUUAAUAUUUUUAUUAUUUGGCUUUUAGAAUAUUAACGUGUAAAUUACUUUUUUUUUUCAAGUGAAAUAAUUAUCACAUUUUGUCUUCUUAGUAUAUAUUUCUACCUUUUUGUUCCUAUAGAUAUUUCCUCAUUUCAUCUUUGGUACUAGAGCGUAGUAAAAAAACACAUGAUUAAAGAUAAAUAUGACAUUUUAACUAACAAAUUAAUUAUUUGUAUCUAAGAUCUAGCUCUAGUGGUAAAGAUCAAUUUUCAUCGAAUUCAAGUCUUGGGUUUGAAUUUAAAUGCAUGGGUAAGUUAAUAAUAAUAAUAAUAAUAAUAAUAAUAAUAAUAAUAAUAAUAAUAAUAAUAAUAAUAAUAAUAAUAAUAAUAAUAAUAAUAAUAAUAAUAAUAAUAAUAAUAAUAAUAAUAAUAAUAAUAAUAAUAAUAAUAAUAAUAAUAAUAAUAAUAAUAAUAAUAAUAAUAAUAAUAAUAAUAAUAAUAAUAAUAAUAAUAAUAAUAAUAAUAAUAAUAAUAAUAAUAAUAAUAAUAAUAAUAAUAAUAAUAAUAAUAAUAAUAAUAAUAAUAAUAAUAAUAAUAAUAAUAAUAAUAAUAAUAAUAAUAAUAAUAAUAAUAAUAAUAAUAAUAAUAAUAAUAAUAAUAAUAAUAAUAAUAAUAAUAAUAAUAAUAAUAAUAAUAAUAAUAAUAAUAAUAAUAAUAAUAAUAAUAAUAAUAAUAAUAAUAAUAAUAAUAAUAAUAAUAAUAAUAAUAAUAAUAAUAAUAAUAAUAAUAAUAAUAAUAAUAAUAAUAAUAAUAAUAAUAAUAAUAAUAAUAAUAAUAAUAAUAAUAAUAAUAAUAAUAAUAAUAAUAAUAAUAAUAAUAAUAAUAAUAAUAAUAAUAAUAAUAAUAAUAAUAAUAAUAAUAAUAAUAAUAAUAAUAAUAAUAAUAAUAAUAAUAAUAAUAAUAAUAAUAAUAAUAAUAAUAAUAAUAAUAAUAAUAAUAAUAAUAAUAAUAAUAAUAAUAAUAAUAAUAAUAAUAAUAAUAAUAAUAAUAAUAAUAAUAAUAAUAAUAAUAAUAAUAAUAAUAAUAAUAAUAAUAAUAAUAAUAAUAAUAAUAAUAAUAAUAAUAAUAAUAAUAAUAAUAAUAAUAAUAAUAAUAAUAAUAAUAAUAAUAAUAAUAAUAAUAAUAAUAAUAAUAAUAAUAAUAAUAAUAAUAAUAAUAAUAAUAAUAAUAAUAAUAAUAAUAAUAAUAAUAAUAAUAAUAAUAAUAAUAAUAAUAAUAAUAAUAAUAAUAAUAAUAAUAAUAAUAAUAAUAAUAAUAAUAAUAAUAAUAAUAAUAAUAAUAAUAAUAAUAAUAAUAAUAAUAAUAAUAAUAAUAAUAAUAAUAAUAAUAAUAAUAAUAAUAAUAAUAAUAAUAAUAAUAAUAAUAAUAAUAAUAAUAAUAAUAAUAAUAAUAAUAAUAAUAAUAAUAAUAAUAAUAAUAAUAAUAAUAAUAAUAAUAAUAAUAAUAAUAAUAAUAAUAAUAAUAAUAAUAAUAAUAAUAAUAAUAAUAAUAAUAAUAAUAAUAAUAAUAAUAAUAAUAAUAAUAAUAAUAAUAAUAAUAAUAAUAAUAAUAAUAAUAAUAAUAAUAAUAAUAAUAAUAAUAAUAAUAAUAAUAAUAAUAAUAAUAAUAAUAAUAAUAAUAAUAAUAAUAAUAAUAAUAAUAAUAAUAAUAAUAAUAAUAAUAAUAAUAAUAAUAAUAAUAAUAAUAAUAAUAAUAAUAAUAAUAAUAAUAAUAAUAAUAAUAAUAAUAAUAAUAAUAAUAAUAAUAAUAAUAAUAAUAAUAAUAAUAAUAAUAAUAAUAAUAAUAAUAAUAAUAAUAAUAAUAAUAAUAAUAAUAAUAAUAAUAAUAAUAAUAAUAAUAAUAAUAAUAAUAAUAAUAAUAAUAAUAAUAAUAAUAAUAAUAAUAAUAAUAAUAAUAAUAAUAAUAAUAAUAAUAAUAAUAAUAAUAAUAAUAAUAAUAAUAAUAAUAAUAAUAAUAAUAAUAAUAAUAAUAAUAAUAAUAAUAAUAAUAAUAAUAAUAAUAAUAAUAAUAAUAAUAAUAAUAAUAAUAAUAAUAAUAAUAAUAAUAAUAAUAAUAAUAAUAAUAAUAAUAAUAAUAAUAAUAAUAAUAAUAAUAAUAAUAAUAAUAAUAAUAAUAAUAAUAAUAAUAAUAAUAAUAAUAAUAAUAAUAAUAAUAAUAAUAAUAAUAAUAAUAAUAAUAAUAAUAAUAAUAAUAAUAAUAAUAAUAAUAAUAAUAAUAAUAAUAAUAAUAAUAAUAAUAAUAAUAAUAAUAAUAAUAAUAAUAAUAAUAAUAAUAAUAAUAAUAAUAAUAAUAAUAAUAAUAAUAAUAAUAAUAAUAAUAAUAAUAAUAAUAAUAAUAAUAAUAAUAAUAAUAAUAAUAAUAAUAAUAAUAAUAAUAAUAAUAAUAAUAAUAAUAAUAAUAAUAAUAAUAAUAAUAAUAAUAAUAAUAAUAAUAAUAAUAAUAAUAAUAAUAAUAAUAAUAAUAAUAAUAAUAAUAAUAAUAAUAAUAAUAAUAAUAAUAAUAAUAAUAAUAAUAAUAAUAAUAAUAAUAAUAAUAAUAAUAAUAAUAAUAAUAAUAAUAAUAAUAAUAAUAAUAAUAAUAAUAAUAAUAAUAAUAAUAAUAAUAAUAAUAAUAAUAAUAAUAAUAAUAAUAAUAAUAAUAAUAAUAAUAAUAAUAAUAAUAAUAAUAAUAAUAAUAAUAAUAAUAAUAAUAAUAAUAAUAAUAAUAAUAAUAAUAAUAAUAAUAAUAAUAAUAAUAAUAAUAAUAAUAAUAAUAAUAAUAAUAAUAAUAAUAAUAAUAAUAAUAAUAAUAAUAAUAAUAAUAAUAAUAAUAAUAAUAAUAAUAAUAAUAAUAAUAAUAAUAAUAAUAAUAAUAAUAAUAAUAAUAAUAAUAAUAAUAAUAAUAAUAAUAAUAAUAAUAAUAAUAAUAAUAAUAAUAAUAAUAAUAAUAAUAAUAAUAAUAAUAAUAAUAAUAAUAAUAAUAAUAAUAAUAAUAAUAAUAAUAAUAAUAAUAAUAAUAAUAAUAAUAAUAAUAAUAAUAAUAAUAAUAAUAAUAAUAAUAAUAAUAAUAAUAAUAAUAAUAAUAAUAAUAAUAAUAAUAAUAAUAAUAAUAAUAAUAAUAAUAAUAAUAAUAAUAAUAAUAAUAAUAAUAAUAAUAAUAAUAAUAAUAAUAAUAAUAAUAAUAAUAAUAAUAAUAAUAAUAAUAAUAAUAAUAAUAAUAAUAAUAAUAAUAAUAAUAAUAAUAAUAAUAAUAAUAAUAAUAAUAAUAAUAAUAAUAAUAAUAAUAAUAAUAAUAAUAAUAAUAAUAAUAAUAAUAAUAAUAAUAAUAAUAAUAAUAAUAAUAAUAAUAAUAAUAAUAAUAAUAAUAAUAAUAAUAAUAAUAAUAAUAAUAAUAAUAAUAAUAAUAAUAAUAAUAAUAAUAAUAAUAAUAAUAAUAAUAAUAAUAAUAAUAAUAAUAAUAAUAAUAAUAAUAAUAAUAAUAAUAAUAAUAAUAAUAAUAAUAAUAAUAAUAAUAAUAAUAAUAAUAAUAAUAAUAAUAAUAAUAAUAAUAAUAAUAAUAAUAAUAAUAAUAAUAAUAAUAAUAAUAAUAAUAAUAAUAAUAAUAAUAAUAAUAAUAAUAAUAAUAAUAAUAAUAAUAAUAAUAAUAAUAAUAAUAAUAAUAAUAAUAAUAAUAAUAAUAAUAAUAAUAAUAAUAAUAAUAAUAAUAAUAAUAAUAAUAAUAAUAAUAAUAAUAAUAAUAAUAAUAAUAAUAAUAAUAAUAAUAAUAAUAAUAAUAAUAAUAAUAAUAAUAAUAAUAAUAAUAAUAAUAAUAAUAAUAAUAAUAAUAAUAAUAAUAAUAAUAAUAAUAAUAAUAAUAAUAAUAAUAAUAAUAAUAAUAAUAAUAAUAAUAAUAAUAAUAAUAAUAAUAAUAAUAAUAAUAAUAAUAAUAAUAAUAAUAAUAAUAAUAAUAAUAAUAAUAAUAAUAAUAAUAAUAAUAAUAAUAAUAAUAAUAAUAAUAAUAAUAAUAAUAAUAAUAAUAAUAAUAAUAAUAAUAAUAAUAAUAAUAAUAAUAAUAAUAAUAAUAAUAAUAAUAAUAAUAAUAAUAAUAAUAAUAAUAAUAAUAAUAAUAAUAAUAAUAAUAAUAAUAAUAAUAAUAAUAAUAAUAAUAAUAAUAAUAAUAAUAAUAAUAAUAAUAAUAAUAAUAAUAAUAAUAAUAAUAAUAAUAAUAAUAAUAAUAAUAAUAAUAAUAAUAAUAAUAAUAAUAAUAAUAAUAAUAAUAAUAAUAAUAAUAAUAAUAAUAAUAAUAAUAAUAAUAAUAAUAAUAAUAAUAAUAAUAAUAAUAAUAAUAAUAAUAAUAAUAAUAAUAAUAAUAAUAAUAAUAAUAAUAAUAAUAAUAAUAAUAAUAAUAAUAAUAAUAAUAAUAAUAAUAAUAAUAAUAAUAAUAAUAAUAAUAAUAAUAAUAAUAAUAAUAAUAAUAAUAAUAAUAAUAAUAAUAAUAAUAAUAAUAAUAAUAAUAAUAAUAAUAAUAAUAAUAAUAAUAAUAAUAAUAAUAAUAAUAAUAAUAAUAAUAAUAAUAAUAAUAAUAAUAAUAAUAAUAAUAAUAAUAAUAAUAAUAAUAAUAAUAAUAAUAAUAAUAAUAAUAAUAAUAAUAAUAAUAAUAAUAAUAAUAAUAAUAAUAAUAAUAAUAAUAAUAAUAAUAAUAAUAAUAAUAAUAAUAAUAAUAAUAAUAAUAAUAAUAAUAAUAAUAAUAAUAAUAAUAAUAAUAAUAAUAAUAAUAAUAAUAAUAAUAAUAAUAAUAAUAAUAAUAAUAAUAAUAAUAAUAAUAAUAAUAAUAAUAAUAAUAAUAAUAAUAAUAAUAAUAAUAAUAAUAAUAAUAAUAAUAAUAAUAAUAAUAAUAAUAAUAAUAAUAAUAAUAAUAAUAAUAAUAAUAAUAAUAAUAAUAAUAAUAAUAAUAAUAAUAAUAAUAAUAAUAAUAAUAAUAAUAAUAAUAAUAAUAAUAAUAAUAAUAAUAAUAAUAAUAAUAAUAAUAAUAAUAAUAAUAAUAAUAAUAAUAAUAAUAAUAAUAAUAAUAAUAAUAAUAAUAAUAAUAAUAAUAAUAAUAAUAAUAAUAAUAAUAAUAAUAAUAAUAAUAAUAAUAAUAAUAAUAAUAAUAAUAAUAAUAAUAAUAAUAAUAAUAAUAAUAAUAAUAAUAAUAAUAAUAAUAAUAAUAAUAAUAAUAAUAAUAAUAAUAAUAAUAAUAAUAAUAAUAAUAAUAAUAAUAAUAAUAAUAAUAAUAAUAAUAAUAAUAAUAAUAAUAAUAAUAAUAAUAAUAAUAAUAAUAAUAAUAAUAAUAAUAAUAAUAAUAAUAAUAAUAAUAAUAAUAAUAAUAAUAAUAAUAAUAAUAAUAAUAAUAAUAAUAAUAAUAAUAAUAAUAAUAAUAAUAAUAAUAAUAAUAAUAAUAAUAAUAAUAAUAAUAAUAAUAAUAAUAAUAAUAAUAAUAAUAAUAAUAAUAAUAAUAAUAAUAAUAAUAAUAAUAAUAAUAAUAAUAAUAAUAAUAAUAAUAAUAAUAAUAAUAAUAAUAAUAAUAAUAAUAAUAAUAAUAAUAAUAAUAAUAAUAAUAAUAAUAAUAAUAAUAAUAAUAAUAAUAAUAAUAAUAAUAAUAAUAAUAAUAAUAAUAAUAAUAAUAAUAAUAAUAAUAAUAAUAAUAAUAAUAAUAAUAAUAAUAAUAAUAAUAAUAAUAAUAAUAAUAAUAAUAAUAAUAAUAAUAAUAAUAAUAAUAAUAAUAAUAAUAAUAAUAAUAAUAAUAAUAAUAAUAAUAAUAAUAAUAAUAAUAAUAAUAAUAAUAAUAAUAAUAAUAAUAAUAAUAAUAAUAAUAAUAAUAAUAAUAAUAAUAAUAAUAAUAAUAAUAAUAAUAAUAAUAAUAAUAAUAAUAAUAAUAAUAAUAAUAAUAAUAAUAAUAAUAAUAAUAAUAAUAAUAAUAAUAAUAAUAAUAAUAAUAAUAAUAAUAAUAAUAAUAAUAAUAAUAAUAAUAAUAAUAAUAAUAAUAAUAAUAAUAAUAAUAAUAAUAAUAAUAAUAAUAAUAAUAAUAAUAAUAAUAAUAAUAAUAAUAAUAAUAAUAAUAAUAAUAAUAAUAAUAAUAAUAAUAAUAAUAAUAAUAAUAAUAAUAAUAAUAAUAAUAAUAAUAAUAAUAAUAAUAAUAAUAAUAAUAAUAAUAAUAAUAAUAAUAAUAAUAAUAAUAAUAAUAAUAAUAAUAAUAAUAAUAAUAAUAAUAAUAAUAAUAAUAAUAAUAAUAAUAAUAAUAAUAAUAAUAAUAAUAAUAAUAAUAAUAAUAAUAAUAAUAAUAAUAAUAAUAAUAAUAAUAAUAAUAAUAAUAAUAAUAAUAAUAAUAAUAAUAAUAAUAAUAAUAAUAAUAAUAAUAAUAAUAAUAAUAAUAAUAAUAAUAAUAAUAAUAAUAAUAAUAAUAAUAAUAAUAAUAAUAAUAAUAAUAAUAAUAAUAAUAAUAAUAAUAAUAAUAAUAAUAAUAAUAAUAAUAAUAAUAAUAAUAAUAAUAAUAAUAAUAAUAAUAAUAAUAAUAAUAAUAAUAAUAAUAAUAAUAAUAAUAAUAAUAAUAAUAAUAAUAAUAAUAAUAAUAAUAAUAAUAAUAAUAAUAAUAAUAAUAAUAAUAAUAAUAAUAAUAAUAAUAAUAAUAAUAAUAAUAAUAAUAAUAAUAAUAAUAAUAAUAAUAAUAAUAAUAAUAAUAAUAAUAAUAAUAAUAAUAAUAAUAAUAAUAAUAAUAAUAAUAAUAAUAAUAAUAAUAAUAAUAAUAAUAAUAAUAAUAAUAAUAAUAAUAAUAAUAAUAAUAAUAAUAAUAAUAAUAAUAAUAAUAAUAAUAAUAAUAAUAAUAAUAAUAAUAAUAAUAAUAAUAAUAAUAAUAAUAAUAAUAAUAAUAAUAAUAAUAAUAAUAAUAAUAAUAAUAAUAAUAAUAAUAAUAAUAAUAAUAAUAAUAAUAAUAAUAAUAAUAAUAAUAAUAAUAAUAAUAAUAAUAAUAAUAAUAAUAAUAAUAAUAAUAAUAAUAAUAAUAAUAAUAAUAAUAAUAAUAAUAAUAAUAAUAAUAAUAAUAAUAAUAAUAAUAAUAAUAAUAAUAAUAAUAAUAAUAAUAAUAAUAAUAAUAAUAAUAAUAAUAAUAAUAAUAAUAAUAAUAAUAAUAAUAAUAAUAAUAAUAAUAAUAAUAAUAAUAAUAAUAAUAAUAAUAAUAAUAAUAAUAAUAAUAAUAAUAAUAAUAAUAAUAAUAAUAAUAAUAAUAAUAAUAAUAAUAAUAAUAAUAAUAAUAAUAAUAAUAAUAAUAAUAAUAAUAAUAAUAAUAAUAAUAAUAAUAAUAAUAAUAAUAAUAAUAAUAAUAAUAAUAAUAAUAAUAAUAAUAAUAAUAAUAAUAAUAAUAAUAAUAAUAAUAAUAAUAAUAAUAAUAAUAAUAAUAAUAAUAAUAAUAAUAAUAAUAAUAAUAAUAAUAAUAAUAAUAAUAAUAAUAAUAAUAAUAAUAAUAAUAAUAAUAAUAAUAAUAAUAAUAAUAAUAAUAAUAAUAAUAAUAAUAAUAAUAAUAAUAAUAAUAAUAAUAAUAAUAAUAAUAAUAAUAAUAAUAAUAAUAAUAAUAAUAAUAAUAAUAAUAAUAAUAAUAAUAAUAAUAAUAAUAAUAAUAAUAAUAAUAAUAAUAAUAAUAAUAAUAAUAAUAAUAAUAAUAAUAAUAAUAAUAAUAAUAAUAAUAAUAAUAAUAAUAAUAAUAAUAAUAAUAAUAAUAAUAAUAAUAAUAAUAAUAAUAAUAAUAAUAAUAAUAAUAAUAAUAAUAAUAAUAAUAAUAAUAAUAAUAAUAAUAAUAAUAAUAAUAAUAAUAAUAAUAAUAAUAAUAAUAAUAAUAAUAAUAAUAAUAAUAAUAAUAAUAAUAAUAAUAAUAAUAAUAAUAAUAAUAAUAAUAAUAAUAAUAAUAAUAAUAAUAAUAAUAAUAAUAAUAAUAAUAAUAAUAAUAAUAAUAAUAAUAAUAAUAAUAAUAAUAAUAAUAAUAAUAAUAAUAAUAAUAAUAAUAAUAAUAAUAAUAAUAAUAAUAAUAAUAAUAAUAAUAAUAAUAAUAAUAAUAAUAAUAAUAAUAAUAAUAAUAAUAAUAAUAAUAAUAAUAAUAAUAAUAAUAAUAAUAAUAAUAAUAAUAAUAAUAAUAAUAAUAAUAAUAAUAAUAAUAAUAAUAAUAAUAAUAAUAAUAAUAAUAAUAAUAAUAAUAAUAAUAAUAAUAAUAAUAAUAAUAAUAAUAAUAAUAAUAAUAAUAAUAAUAAUAAUAAUAAUAAUAAUAAUAAUAAUAAUAAUAAUAAUAAUAAUAAUAAUAAUAAUAAUAAUAAUAAUAAUAAUAAUAAUAAUAAUAAUAAUAAUAAUAAUAAUAAUAAUAAUAAUAAUAAUAAUAAUAAUAAUAAUAAUAAUAAUAAUAAUAAUAAUAAUAAUAAUAAUAAUAAUAAUAAUAAUAAUAAUAAUAAUAAUAAUAAUAAUAAUAAUAAUAAUAAUAAUAAUAAUAAUAAUAAUAAUAAUAAUAAUAAUAAUAAUAAUAAUAAUAAUAAUAAUAAUAAUAAUAAUAAUAAUAAUAAUAAUAAUAAUAAUAAUAAUAAUAAUAAUAAUAAUAAUAAUAAUAAUAAUAAUAAUAAUAAUAAUAAUAAUAAUAAUAAUAAUAAUAAUAAUAAUAAUAAUAAUAAUAAUAAUAAUAAUAAUAAUAAUAAUAAUAAUAAUAAUAAUAAUAAUAAUAAUAAUAAUAAUAAUAAUAAUAAUAAUAAUAAUAAUAAUAAUAAUAAUAAUAAUAAUAAUAAUAAUAAUAAUAAUAAUAAUAAUAAUAAUAAUAAUAAUAAUAAUAAUAAUAAUAAUAAUAAUAAUAAUAAUAAUAAUAAUAAUAAUAAUAAUAAUAAUAAUAAUAAUAAUAAUAAUAAUAAUAAUAAUAAUAAUAAUAAUAAUAAUAAUAAUAAUAAUAAUAAUAAUAAUAAUAAUAAUAAUAAUAAUAAUAAUAAUAAUAAUAAUAAUAAUAAUAAUAAUAAUAAUAAUAAUAAUAAUAAUAAUAAUAAUAAUAAUAAUAAUAAUAAUAAUAAUAAUAAUAAUAAUAAUAAUAAUAAUAAUAAUAAUAAUAAUAAUAAUAAUAAUAAUAAUAAUAAUAAUAAUAAUAAUAAUAAUAAUAAUAAUAAUAAUAAUAAUAAUAAUAAUAAUAAUAAUAAUAAUAAUAAUAAUAAUAAUAAUAAUAAUAAUAAUAAUAAUAAUAAUAAUAAUAAUAAUAAUAAUAAUAAUAAUAAUAAUAAUAAUAAUAAUAAUAAUAAUAAUAAUAAUAAUAAUAAUAAUAAUAAUAAUAAUAAUAAUAAUAAUAAUAAUAAUAAUAAUAAUAAUAAUAAUAAUAAUAAUAAUAAUAAUAAUAAUAAUAAUAAUAAUAAUAAUAAUAAUAAUAAUAAUAAUAAUAAUAAUAAUAAUAAUAAUAAUAAUAAUAAUAAUAAUAAUAAUAAUAAUAAUAAUAAUAAUAAUAAUAAUAAUAAUAAUAAUAAUAAUAAUAAUAAUAAUAAUAAUAAUAAUAAUAAUAAUAAUAAUAAUAAUAAUAAUAAUAAUAAUAAUAAUAAUAAUAAUAAUAAUAAUAAUAAUAAUAAUAAUAAUAAUAAUAAUAAUAAUAAUAAUAAUAAUAAUAAUAAUAAUAAUAAUAAUAAUAAUAAUAAUAAUAAUAAUAAUAAUAAUAAUAAUAAUAAUAAUAAUAAUAAUAAUAAUAAUAAUAAUAAUAAUAAUAAUAAUAAUAAUAAUAAUAAUAAUAAUAAUAAUAAUAAUAAUAAUAAUAAUAAUAAUAAUAAUAAUAAUAAUAAUAAUAAUAAUAAUAAUAAUAAUAAUAAUAAUAAUAAUAAUAAUAAUAAUAAUAAUAAUAAUAAUAAUAAUAAUAAUAAUAAUAAUAAUAAUAAUAAUAAUAAUAAUAAUAAUAAUAAUAAUAAUAAUAAUAAUAAUAAUAAUAAUAAUAAUAAUAAUAAUAAUAAUAAUAAUAAUAAUAAUAAUAAUAAUAAUAAUAAUAAUAAUAAUAAUAAUAAUAAUAAUAAUAAUAAUAAUAAUAAUAAUAAUAAUAAUAAUAAUAAUAAUAAUAAUAAUAAUAAUAAUAAUAAUAAUAAUAAUAAUAAUAAUAAUAAUAAUAAUAAUAAUAAUAAUAAUAAUAAUAAUAAUAAUAAUAAUAAUAAUAAUAAUAAUAAUAAUAAUAAUAAUAAUAAUAAUAAUAAUAAUAAUAAUAAUAAUAAUAAUAAUAAUAAUAAUAAUAAUAAUAAUAAUAAUAAUAAUAAUAAUAAUAAUAAUAAUAAUAAUAAUAAUAAUAAUAAUAAUAAUAAUAAUAAUAAUAAUAAUAAUAAUAAUAAUAAUAAUAAUAAUAAUAAUAAUAAUAAUAAUAAUAAUAAUAAUAAUAAUAAUAAUAAUAAUAAUAAUAAUAAUAAUAAUAAUAAUAAUAAUAAUAAUAAUAAUAAUAAUAAUAAUAAUAAUAAUAAUAAUAAUAAUAAUAAUAAUAAUAAUAAUAAUAAUAAUAAUAAUAAUAAUAAUAAUAAUAAUAAUAAUAAUAAUAAUAAUAAUAAUAAUAAUAAUAAUAAUAAUAAUAAUAAUAAUAAUAAUAAUAAUAAUAAUAAUAAUAAUAAUAAUAAUAAUAAUAAUAAUAAUAAUAAUAAUAAUAAUAAUAAUAAUAAUAAUAAUAAUAAUAAUAAUAAUAAUAAUAAUAAUAAUAAUAAUAAUAAUAAUAAUAAUAAUAAUAAUAAUAAUAAUAAUAAUAAUAAUAAUAAUAAUAAUAAUAAUAAUAAUAAUAAUAAUAAUAAUAAUAAUAAUAAUAAUAAUAAUAAUAAUAAUAAUAAUAAUAAUAAUAAUAAUAAUAAUAAUAAUAAUAAUAAUAAUAAUAAUAAUAAUAAUAAUAAUAAUAAUAAUAAUAAUAAUAAUAAUAAUAAUAAUAAUAAUAAUAAUAAUAAUAAUAAUAAUAAUAAUAAUAAUAAUAAUAAUAAUAAUAAUAAUAAUAAUAAUAAUAAUAAUAAUAAUAAUAAUAAUAAUAAUAAUAAUAAUAAUAAUAAUAAUAAUAAUAAUAAUAAUAAUAAUAAUAAUAAUAAUAAUAAUAAUAAUAAUAAUAAUAAUAAUAAUAAUAAUAAUAAUAAUAAUAAUAAUAAUAAUAAUAAUAAUAAUAAUAAUAAUAAUAAUAAUAAUAAUAAUAAUAAUAAUAAUAAUAAUAAUAAUAAUAAUAAUAAUAAUAAUAAUAAUAAUAAUAAUAAUAAUAAUAAUAAUAAUAAUAAUAAUAAUAAUAAUAAUAAUAAUAAUAAUAAUAAUAAUAAUAAUAAUAAUAAUAAUAAUAAUAAUAAUAAUAAUAAUAAUAAUAAUAAUAAUAAUAAUAAUAAUAAUAAUAAUAAUAAUAAUAAUAAUAAUAAUAAUAAUAAUAAUAAUAAUAAUAAUAAUAAUAAUAAUAAUAAUAAUAAUAAUAAUAAUAAUAAUAAUAAUAAUAAUAAUAAUAAUAAUAAUAAUAAUAAUAAUAAUAAUAAUAAUAAUAAUAAUAAUAAUAAUAAUAAUAAUAAUAAUAAUAAUAAUAAUAAUAAUAAUAAUAAUAAUAAUAAUAAUAAUAAUAAUAAUAAUAAUAAUAAUAAUAAUAAUAAUAAUAAUAAUAAUAAUAAUAAUAAUAAUAAUAAUAAUAAUAAUAAUAAUAAUAAUAAUAAUAAUAAUAAUAAUAAUAAUAAUAAUAAUAAUAAUAAUAAUAAUAAUAAUAAUAAUAAUAAUAAUAAUAAUAAUAAUAAUAAUAAUAAUAAUAAUAAUAAUAAUAAUAAUAAUAAUAAUAAUAAUAAUAAUAAUAAUAAUAAUAAUAAUAAUAAUAAUAAUAAUAAUAAUAAUAAUAAUAAUAAUAAUAAUAAUAAUAAUAAUAAUAAUAAUAAUAAUAAUAAUAAUAAUAAUAAUAAUAAUAAUAAUAAUAAUAAUAAUAAUAAUAAUAAUAAUAAUAAUAAUAAUAAUAAUAAUAAUAAUAAUAAUAAUAAUAAUAAUAAUAAUAAUAAUAAUAAUAAUAAUAAUAAUAAUAAUAAUAAUAAUAAUAAUAAUAAUAAUAAUAAUAAUAAUAAUAAUAAUAAUAAUAAUAAUAAUAAUAAUAAUAAUAAUAAUAAUAAUAAUAAUAAUAAUAAUAAUAAUAAUAAUAAUAAUAAUAAUAAUAAUAAUAAUAAUAAUAAUAAUAAUAAUAAUAAUAAUAAUAAUAAUAAUAAUAAUAAUAAUAAUAAUAAUAAUAAUAAUAAUAAUAAUAAUAAUAAUAAUAAUAAUAAUAAUAAUAAUAAUAAUAAUAAUAAUAAUAAUAAUAAUAAUAAUAAUAAUAAUAAUAAUAAUAAUAAUAAUAAUAAUAAUAAUAAUAAUAAUAAUAAUAAUAAUAAUAAUAAUAAUAAUAAUAAUAAUAAUAAUAAUAAUAAUAAUAAUAAUAAUAAUAAUAAUAAUAAUAAUAAUAAUAAUAAUAAUAAUAAUAAUAAUAAUAAUAAUAAUAAUAAUAAUAAUAAUAAUAAUAAUAAUAAUAAUAAUAAUAAUAAUAAUAAUAAUAAUAAUAAUAAUAAUAAUAAUAAUAAUAAUAAUAAUAAUAAUAAUAAUAAUAAUAAUAAUAAUAAUAAUAAUAAUAAUAAUAAUAAUAAUAAUAAUAAUAAUAAUAAUAAUAAUAAUAAUAAUAAUAAUAGAGAAGAGAAAAAUUAGAUCUAGGGUUUCUUUCUUUUUCUCCAAUCCAAAAAUCCCCCCUUUUCACAAUAGAUUCCUCCCUUAAAUACUCUCUCUCUCUUCUCCUCUAGAAUUCUAUUUAAAAUAAAAUACUAACAUCUGAAAUAUUAAAUUCGUAAUUACAAAAAUAACCAAAAAUACAAAACACGUUAAACUAAAAACUGCAGGUCCGCAGUUGACAGCACGCGCCCACGCCUUAUCAACAAAGUUCUUCUGACGCUCAUAAUUUCUCCAAGAGAACAAUCAUCCUUAAACAUCAUCUUAUAGCUCAAUUUUAUCAUCAAUCAAUAGAAUUGCACCUACAAAAGUAAAACAUAAGUAAAUCACUAUUAUUAAGUGCAAAACAUUGAUAUUAAGGGAAGUAAAUAAUGCAAAACUAGUGCAUAAAUUGCACUCUAACAGUAAUCAGUAAUCAGCAUUAAAAAUUAAAUUAAAUUAAAUUUUUUUGUUUUUAAUAUUAUUUAGUUAUAGACUUAUUAUUAUAUUUAUUCGUUCAUAAAACUAAAUAAUGUUAAAUCAAAUAAAAUAAUCAGGAAUGGUUCUUAAAAAAUUAAUAUUAUUUAUUUUAUUUUAUUUAAUAUUAUUUAGUCAUAGCCUAUUAUUCUGUUUAUUUUUUGAAAAUUAAAUAAUAUUAAAUAAAAUAGAAUAGAAAAUGUGAGUCCUUAAAAAUAAAAAUUAUUUUUAAUAUUAUUUAUUUUAUUUAAAAGAAUAAAUUUUUUAAUAUUUUUAUUUUAUUAAAAAAUAUUAUUUAAUAUUAUCUAGUCAUAGGCUUAUUAUUAUAUUUCUUCUUUUAGAAAGUUAAAUAGUAUUAAAUGAAAUAAAAUUACAUUUUAGAAGGUCAUUAGCCAAAGCACAUAAACUUAUAAACAAAUGGAAAUAAAAAAGGUAAAUAAUAUUCAAUAAAAUAAAAUUACAUUUUAAAAGGUCACCAACCAAAGCACAUAAUAUUAUAACAAAAAUGUAAAUAAAAAAGAAAGUAAGAGAUUCAAUGAAAUUUAACAUCACAAAAGACAAUUUCAAAAAUUGGGGGUAGCUUGCAACUGUUGCAAAGUGGCUGGUUCCAUAAUUUUGAGAUAAUGUUUCGGUUUCAAAUAUUGUUAUCGAUACCUAAUUAUAAGUAAUAAAAAAAUAUUGUAUAAUUUUUUUACCAACAUUUACAAUACAUUUUAUUUUGAUUUCUGAAAAAAAUAGAUAAAACACAAAUUAAUUAUUUUAACCCUCUAUUCUCUCAAUAUUUAAACUCGAAUAAUCAGUUAAAAGUUGCUCGAGAAUGUUUAAAAGCCAUUUAAGUAUACCACGUCAUUCAUGUUUUGCAAUCAUUCAAUUGUUAAUAAGUUUCCCAUGUGCUGAAAAUAAAUAAAAAUGCACGUGCAUAUGUCAUAUUGUCUCCGAAACCUCACAGCGGAAUGAGUGUAGUACUUGCAAUGCAUGUACUUUAGACUUUGUAUUUCUCUUAUUUAAAUGAUCAAUAAUUUUUCUUUGUCCUUUAAUUAGACGUCAACAGUCGAAGUUGUGGGCAGGUAGUAGGCUAUAUAUAAUAAUUUCCUGGAGAUCUUCCGUCUUCUAAGACAUUGCAAAUGCCAAACGUGAUAACUAUUUUGAUAAUUCAAAUACUACAUAAAAUAUAUGAAGUGUCAGACAAGUCAAAAGAAUUGAUUCUUCACAAUUGUAUAUACGUAUACACACACUUUGCCCAAAUCCCAUUGUAUCCAGGCUGUAAUUUUUAUAUUAAACGAACAUAUUUUAUUUUAUGUCAGCAAUAUUGAUGCAGGCUGGGGGAACAACAGCUUCAGGAUGGUCAACUACCCUUCGGAUCAUUGCAAGUGGGAUGGCAUCACUUGCAAUUCAGAUGGAAGCAUAAUCAGGCUAAAAUUAUCAUGGUGUGAUGUUGACUUCAAAAGGUAAUCUUCGUAAAAUUAUCAUGGUAUAAUAUACGUAUUUAUUUUCGCAUACAUAAAUAAAUAACAAAAUUGUAAUUAAUUGGAUACAGCUUCAGCUUUUGGACUGGUUUGUGAAAAUCAGAAAAAUUUAAAAAUGCUCCUCUUGAACAAUCAAAAUCUACUUUAUACGUGAACAAAGGGGAUGAUUCGUAAAGAUAGUUCAUCAAUGUUUGAUUGCUUUCAAGCGUGUCGAUUACUUUCAGAAAGAAAGACUUCAUUUGAUCUCGUCACAAAACAUAAUUUCACUUUGAAUUUGAAAAAGAAUAAUGAAGUUCAUACAAGUGCUGUUAUGACCUUUUUUUUUUUGUUUUCUUUUUUUCUCGACGUUGUUUUGUGAAUCAUAAGGGUUAAUUUAAUACGGUGGGUUCGCUUGUAUGAAGCGCACUUAUUGUACCAUUCUGUUGCAAGCAAUGAAAAAACGCUAUAAUUUUUUUAAGUUUCUACAAGUAUUAUGUUAUCUUAUAUCUAAAUGUGCAUCUCUAGUCUUUGCUCUCAGUUCAGGUUCUCUAAAAGUAUAUUAAUUAUGAAAAGCAUUAAAGGUUCCGAAACUCUAUUUUGCGGGGAAAAAGAACCUCCAUUUUUGGUUUUUUAUUAUAUGAGAUUUUACUAUGCUCGUAAUAACUUAAUCGAAAUUAAACAUAUCACUGGUCUACAUUUUUUUAUAAGAUUUUGUGACUUGCUAAUUAAGAUGAGUAUCACCAUCAAAUCAACAAGCUUAUACCUUCAAAGAAAAAUAGACUAUAAGUCGGGAGAAAGAAGAAAAAAAAAAAAAAAAGAAUCUUCGCAAUUUAUGCUGUUGGUUGUGAGUUCAUGAAACAAAUAAAAAUAUGAAAUCAAACAUUUAUUCAAAAUUUAAAAUUAAAAAAAAAACUCUAUAUCUACAGUAAUCUGUUCAAACCACAUAGGUGGAGCAAUAUAGUUCCAAGACGUGGUUUUAAAACAUGUCUUUGUGAUAAACAAUAUCGUGAUACUUGCGCCAAUUCCCAUGGCAAUAAUUGCCUACAUUUAUCCAAGAUCCAUGGCCAGGUUUAGAAUGUGCUAGUCUUCUUUCACUUUCAUAAAUAACCACUACUAGGUAAUCAGAGUGUCGGUCUAAAUUUUUCGGAGAUACAACGUCAAUGUAUGUGCCCGGAGUUGAAGCUGAACGCGCUUAAAUAUGUUCGGAAUUUGAAGUUGAACGCCUGGAAAAGGAUGCAGACUGAAGAAAGGCAAUUCCUGGAAUUUGUCUUUGGUAAGAAAACAUGGCUGCUUAUGCCCUUUGAAAGACUGAAGAAACCAAAUUGAUUAUUGCUGCAAUUUAGUGGCACAUGUACGAGGAGAGGCAUCCAAUUAAACUUGUUCAUAAAAGUAUUGCUGAUAGUUGCAGCCGAUCUCCAGACAAAAUCUUCGUACAAUUUUAUCCGCCAGCAAUUUCGACCAAGAGACCUUGAUGCAGUUCAGACCAAUUCGCCAGUUGAACAUCAAGUUGCCUAGGCAUUGAGAAUUAGGUCAAUAAAAUAUAUCCUGGGUCACUUACAAAAGAUGAAAUAAGUGAAAAAGGAAAGAUGACGUAAUAAUUUCUUAGUGAGAAAAGUUAGUUAAUUUGCAAAGGUCUUAGAUAAUCAAUUUGAUGUAAAAAUAUCAAAAUUUUUUUUAAUCAGUGAAAUAUUCAACCUCUAGUUUCAGCACUACAAAUGAAUUAAAUAGAAUAAUGAUAGAUAUUUUAAAAUUUUAUCCCAAAUGAUGUGAUAUGUAAUGUAUCAUUCAUUAAGUAGUUGAUGAUUUUUUUAUAAAUUUUAAGUGGAUUAAUUAUAUUAUUUUACCAACGAGUAAAUAAAUGUCACAUCAUUAGAGAAGAAAUUUUAAGGUAAAACUUUUCAAAUAUAUAUCACUACUCCAUUAAAUAUGGUAUAAAAAAUCUAAUAGGGACCAAAAAUAUAAAAACCCAUUAAAAAUAAAAAAUAUAAAAGUCAAUUCCUAAUUAGAAGAAUGAAAGUUUGUUUCUCCUACAAUCAUUUCACUAGAUUUUAAAUAAAUUAAUUAAUGAAAAUUUUUAAUAACAAAUCGGUGCCUAAACCUAACGUCUUUUUUUUUUUGGUCUUAUCCACGAGGUAUCCUGGGGAGGGCCCCAACUGUGGGAGGCACCUUUAAGCCCGUACCACAACCCAGACUAGAAGUCCCCGCUCGAACCGGGAGGCACAGGUUCUCCCAACAAAGGCGACUUCCCCGCGACUCGAACUGGGGAGCAAACCCAGUCAAGCCACUUAAGGGGACUCCAUUGCCAGUGGAGCCAACACUUUGUUGGUUAAACCUAACGUCUUUGACAGUGCUGCCAAUAUCACUCACAACUUACAAGAAAAUUUUGGUAUUAAAUUUAUUAAUGUUCUCAAGGAAUUUUUAGUUUGACUUUGCAUUCUCAGACCCAUUUGUCACAUAACACGUUAGCAAAGACCUUUAAUGAGAAUAUUAAAACAGCUGUCGAAUAAGCAUCUUGACGACGACUUUUUGACAUAUAUGCAUGCCUCCUUUUGUGAACAAAUUUGAAACAUAAAAGAAAAUUUUGAUCCAUGUGAGAGCUGGAGUAUUUUAUAGCUUUUGACCUCAUUAAUUAUGAGUAAGGGAAUAUUUCUACGUCACUAACGAUUAACAUGAUCACUAUAUAAAGGGAAGCAAAGUAUGUUUAGCAUCAAGUCAGAAAACACAAUUUUUAGGAAAUGGGAACUCUAGGACAGGCGAAGCAAUGGCCUCAAUUGGUUUGUGCUAUGGCAUUUUUGCUCAUAGCCACCACAACCGCAAAGGCAUCAGCUGAUGAUUAUGGCCCAGCACCAUCACCAAAGCAUGCAAAGCACCCUCCAAGCCAUUACAAGCCACCGAAACCACCAAAGCACCACGAGUCACCACCACCAUACUACUAUAACUCACCACCUCCACCAGUACAUUCUCCUCCACCACCUUAUUACUAUAAGUCUCCACCACCACCUUCUCUAUCUCCACCACCUCCUUACUAUUAUAAAUCACCACCACCACCGAAACAUUCUCCUCCACCUCCUUACUACUACAAAUCACCACCUCCUCCUUCUCCCUCUCCACCUCCACCAUAUUAUUACAAGUCUCCCCCACCACCAUCUCCAUCUCCCCCACCGCCUUACUACUAUAAAUCCCCACCACCACCAAAAUAUUCUCCUCCACCACCUUACUACUAUAAGUCACCACCUCCACCAGUGAAAUCUCCACCUCCGCCAUAUUACUAUAAAUCACCACCACCACCAAAACAUUCUCCCCCACCACCUUACUACUACAAGUCACCACCACCACCAAUGCAUUCUCCCCCACCACCUUACUAUUACAAAUCUCCACCACCACCAAAGCAUUCUCCUCCACCACCACCUUAUUACAAAUCACCACCCCCACCACCACCAAAACAUUCUCCCCCACCACCUUACUACUAUAAAUCUCCACCGCCACCAAAACAUUCUCCUCCUCCACCAUACUACUAUAAGUCACCACCUCCACCUGUAAAGUCUCCACCUCCACCACCUCACUACAAAUCACCACCACCACCAAAACAGUCUCCUCCACCACCUUAUUACUACAAGUCACCACCCCCACCAGUAAAGUCUCCACCACAGCCACCAAAGCAUUCUCCCCCGCCACCUUACUAUUACAAAUCACCACCUCCACCAAUGAAGUCUCCACCACCGCCACCUUACUAUAAAUCACCACCACCACCAAAUUCUCCCCCUCCACCUUACUAUUACAAAUCACCACCACCACCAAAGCAUUCCCCCCCGCCACCUUAUUACUAUAGAUCUCCACCACCACCAAAGUAUUCUCCCCCACCACCUUACUACUAUAAGUCACCACCUCCACCAAAGCAUUCUCCCCCGCCUCCUUACUAUUACAAAUCUCCACCACCACCUUACUAAUACAAAUCUCCACCACCACCAUCUCUAUCCCCACCUCCAUCUUCCAUUUACACCGCCACCAUCUACAUCACCUCCACCACCAUCUCCAUCAUUGUCACUAUUGCCUUCCGACUACUCCAUGUGAUCACCACCUCCCGAAGACUUCUAAGUUCAAUGUCCCUUCUUGAAACAAGUUUAAAAUUCAAUAAGAAAAAAUGUGUUCCUUCGGUUGCCCUUUUUAUGAUUUUUUAUGUUAAUGUUUUUAUGAAUAAUUUGUAAGAAGCGUUGGGUGUAUCAUUUGUCAUGUGCAAUAAAAAUUUCUAACUUGAUGUAUCCUAAAAAAAAAGUAUUGUGCCAAAAGAAUUAUUCUAUUGUUUUAUCACAAAUGUGUUGUGGCACAUGUAAUGCGCCUGGAUGAAGUAAUAUUAUGUCUUAAUGAAUAAUCAUGCACAACAGUGAUCAUGUACAUAGUUCUUCCAAUGUCAUGAUAAUGUCCAUGCACGUAAUAAAUAACUUCUUCCUUAUAAUAUCAAAGAAAAUGAAGAUACAAACCUUUUAUUCUCUAAUCAUUUAGUCAAACAAAAUUGUUUUAAUUUAGGUUUUGAUCAAUCUUAAUGCUAAUAAAUUCUAACUACAAAUCAAAUACAAUAUCAGCAAAAAUCAUAUUUUAAAUGAAUCAAAAAACAAACACUAGACUUAACCAAGCAGUUAACCUUUAUUAUUCUCCUCAGCAAAGGAUACAAAGAUGUAGGUAGAUUACAAGUUAUCACUGAAAAAAUAGAAAUCAUCUAAAAUGGUGAACAAAUGAGCUCUAAAUAUGUUGCACUCAUUUGUUCAACUAAGCAAUAGAAUUACCCUUUUCCAUUUUAACUGCUUGUCUGCUUUAGCAUGGCAACUUUAAAUAACACCCUUCAACUUGAAAAUUUUGAAUAACCAGAGCGAUCAAUAAUUGUAAAUCUUGAAAAAAAAAAUUUAGUUUAAUUAAAGCCAUAAACAUAAUAUUAAAUAAAAUGAAAAAAAGGUAGUAAACGUAGUGUUGAACUACUUUAUACUUGUGAACUAACUUUUGAUGUUGAUUAAGAUCAUGGACCCUCAACUUUUGUAUUAUGAAUAUGCUCAUGUCCUAUCUUAGGUCUCCUCUAUAAACCACCUUUUUUUAAAAAAUUAUAUUCAUUAUGAUACUAAGGUACAAGCAGAAGUAAGAUUCCUUUAAUAUUUUUGUAACCAGGAUGUGGCAACCUAGGUGAUACGUGAAUUGGUUUUUUGCACAUUUUGCUAUAUUUUUUUGUGUGUAUGCUUGCUGUUUUUCUCUUUGUUCCAACAAUUUCCACAUGAGGAUAAUCUCAUUUUAACAAAGAAAGAUACCACUAAAUUACUACAAAACAUGAAUUCUAAUAUACUAGAAACUAUUCUUUUUUUUUUUUGCCUUUUCAUAUAUUAGAGUUAUGUUUUUAUCAUCUUAGUGGCAUAUAUGCAUUUUAACUAAAUGAGAAUAUUCUCAUUUCAGAAUUAUUAAUAAGAGAGUAGUAGACAAAUGAUACAAAACUAUGCUGCUUUACUAUUAACAACACAUUCAAUGGAGUAAUGAUAGAGAGUAAAUUCUAACACCACAUGAAAACAAACAAAAGUUGAAAUAUUUUAGCUAAUACGUUUAAAGUUUGAAUUAGUAAUAAAAUUGUCUCAGAAAACUGCCUUAAUGGAAUUAAUGUGAGAUUUAUUGGUCGGUUGUAUCAAUAUCAUUUUCCGGAAAAAAAAAAUUUAGUCAAAAUAUGAAAGGUUUGUUCUGCAAGUGGUUGAUAUUGCUGUACAUUAAUAUCAAAGAUACAUUAAGUUCGUACCAAAUUUUAUUAUAAAAUUCAUAAAUGUAUAAGUAGAAGAUUUUAUAAAUUAAUUCCAGGUAAAACGUCGGUGAUGUGAAUAAAUGGUGAAGAGAAAGCUCUAAUAAUUAUAGUAAUAACAGUGAGAAGCUAGCUCAUCAUCGAGUUGUAAGAUAUAUUUUUGAAUUUUCUUGAACACGCUUUGACGUACGAUUAGCAAAAAAGUCUGUCUAUGAGCAAUCGGUCGUACACAGCUUAACUAAACCAUUGACAUUGUAAUUAAUUGAUGAGCUUUUUCUAAUUUCUAUGAAUCAAAUGCAGAUAUUUAGUGGGCAACUACCAACCCUUGCUUGGCAAAAUAUAGGAAAGAAAAACGUGAAAUUUAUAAAUGUUACAUUUUUUUAGAUGAAUAAUUUUGAGAUAAUGUUUCAGUUUCCGAUAUUGUUAUCUAUACCUAAUUAUAGAUAAUAAAGAAAUAUUUUCUAAUUUUUUUUAUCAACAUUUACAAUACAUUUUAUUUUUAUUUCUAAAAAAAUAGAUAAAGCACAAAUUAAUUAUUUUAACCCUCUAUCUUCACAAUAUUUAAACUCGAAUAAUCAGUUAAAGUUGUUCGAGAAUGUUUAAAUGCCAUUUAAGUAUACCACGUCAUUCAUAUUUUGCAAUCAUCCAAUUGUGAGGAUUCCCAUGUACUGAAAAUAAAUAGAAAUACACAUGCAUAUGUCAUAUUGUCUCUGAACCGCAGAAUGAUUGUAGUACUUGCAAUGCGUGUAUUUUAGACUUUGUCUUUCUCUGAUUUAAAUGAUCUAUAAUUUUCCUUUGUCCUUUAAUUAGAAGUCAGCAGUCAAAGUUGUGGGCAAGUAGGAUAUAUAUAGUAAUUUCCUUGAGAUCUUCUGUCUUCUAAGACAUUGUAAACACCAAACGUGAUCACUAUUUUGAUCAUUCAAAUACUACAUAAAAUAUAUGAAAUGUGAGACAAGUCAAAAGAAUUGAUUCUUCACAAUUGUAUAUAGUAUUAUUUGAUUCUGCCUCCCACCUAUACACACACACACACACACACACACACACACACAUAUACCCUGAGCAGGAUUUACAUUUUGUCUUUACAUUUUCCACAACGCCUUUAAUUUUUACAGUGAUUAAAAAAGGCCAAAAUAUUGAUGUAUUACCUCCAACUACUAUUUAGACUUUGUUCAAAUCCCAUUGUAUCCAGGCUGUAAUUUUUAUAUUAAACAAACAUAUUUUAUUUUAUGUCAGCAAUAUUGAUGACAAGAUCACUAUAUAAAGAGUAGCAACUAGGUUGUUUAUACAAGUCACAAAACAUAAUUUCACUUUGAAUUUUAAAAAGAUUAAUGAAGUUCAUACAAAUGCUAUUAUGGAUUUUUUUUUCUUUGGACGUUGUUUUGUGAAUCAUAAGGGUUAAUUUAAUAAGGUGGGUUCACUUGUAUAAAGCGCACUCAUUUUACCAUACUGUUGCAAGCAAUGAAAAAACGCUAUAAUCUUUUUAAGUUUCUACAAGUAUUAUGUUAUCAUAUAUCCAAAUGUGCAUCUGUAUUCUUUGCUCUCAGUUCCGGUUCUCUAGAAGUAUGUUAAUUAUGAAAAGCAUUAAAGGUUCCAAAACUCUAUUUUGCGGGGAAAAAGAACCUCCAUUUUUGGUUUUUUAUUAUAUGAGGUUUUACCGCGCUCGUAAUAACUUAAUCGAAAUUAAACUUAUCACUGGUCUAUAUUUUUUAUCAGAUUUUGUGACUAACUAAGAUGAGUAUCACCAGCAAAUCAACAAAGCUAAUACCUUUGUCUACUCGUUCAAAGGAAAAUAGAGUACAAGCCGGGAGAGGGGGAAAAAUGCUUAGCAAUUUAUACUGUUGGUUGCGAUAUCAUGCAACAAAUAAAUAUAUGAAAUCAAACAUACAUCCAAAAUUUAAAGUAAAAAAAAAAAAUCUAAAUCUUGAGUAAUCUAGCUGAAAUUCUGUUCAACCCACAUAGGUGGAGCAAUAUAGUUCCAAGACUUGGUUUUAAAACAUGUCUUUGUAAUAAACAACAUCAUGAUGCUUGCGCCAAUUCCCAUUCCGAUAAUUGCCUAUAUUGAUCCAAGAUCCAUGGCCAGGUUUAGAAUGUGCUAGUAUUCUUUCUCUUCCAUAAAUAACCAUUACUAUGUAAUCGGAGUGCGGUCUAAAUUUUUCGGGGAUAAAACGUCAAUGUAUGUGCCGGAAGUUGAAGCUGAAUGCACUUAAAUAUGUUCGGAAUUUGAAGUUGAACGCCUGAAAAAGGGUGCAGACUGAAGAAAGGCAAUUCCUGGAAUUUUUUUUGGUAAGAAAACAUGACUGCUUAUGUCCUUUGAAAGACUGAAGAAACCAAAUUGAUUAUUGCUGCAAUUUAGUGGCACGUGUACAAGGAGAGGCAUCCGAUUAAACUUGUUCAUAAAAUUAUUGCUGAUAGUUGCAGCCGAUCUCCAUGAAGUACAAACCCAACGCAAAGAAACAAAGUGUUCGUACAAUUUUAUCCGCCAGCAAUUUCGACCAAGAGACCUUGAUGCAGUUCAGACCAAUCACCACUUGAGCAUUUGUUAGGAAAUUGGUGGAUGAAGCAGACACGCAUCUAAAAUAAAAUUGGAAGAAAAAUAAAGAACAAGCACAAAAAGGACACCAAGAAAUUACGUGGUUCGACUUUUAGCCUACGUCCACAGACGAAUACAGAAGGAAAAUAUUUUACUAGUGAAAAGAAGUUACAAGUAUUGUGAUAUUUUAACUCACUACCCAAAAUCUCAAUACACCCAAACUCUCAAAACACUAAUCACUCAAGAGUUUAUUAAACUCUUAAUACUCUCAAUUUCCUAUAGGAAGGAAAUGCUUCUCUCUCGAUGGAAUGCUUCAGCUCUUCAUCUGCACUUCUAUUUAUAGAAAAAUAAUGGCCAAGAAAUCAACGAUUUUAGCCCAACAAUUAUGGCUUCAAUUUCGUCAAUCUGUGUGGCUUCAAUUUUGUCAAUCUAGCGUUCAAAAUUUGUGGGUUGUGUUCUCCAUUUUCUUUGAUUUGCUGGCACCAAAGUCAAGUACCAAAUUUGGUGCUGACUUUUAGGUGUUUGCUUUGACAUUCUCCCACUUGGAGAUUAAAUUGAAAAUUAAUCAAUCUCCACACCAUCCUUUCUAUUUCGUCAUAAUCAUGUUGCCUACAUUUCUGCUAGGCCAUAAGAGGAUCUACUUCAGACAAACUUGUCAAUAUUUAUUGGCUUGGUCAAAACAUCUGCUAGGUCUUCCACUACUUCUCGAAUGAAGUGAUACUGACUUCCUAUAUGCUUUGUCCUGGAAUGAAAUACUGAAUUUCUUGCAAUAUGCAAGGCACUCUAACUGUCACAAUACACAUAAAAUUUCUCUUGUUUGUACCCGAGCUUCUCCAAUAACCUUUGUAUCCAGAUAGCUUCCUUGUAAGCUUGUGUAGCUGCCAUGUAUUCUGCUUCUGUUGUAGAUAAAGCCACAACGAUCUGCAGUUUCGAAACCCAGCAUACAACUCCUCCUGCAAGUGUAAACACAUAACCAGUAGUUGAUUUUCUUUUAUCAAUGUCUCCUACAAAAUCUAAAUCCACGUAGCCCCUAAUAGUAAAUUCUUAUCCUCCAUAACAUAAUAUAACAUCUGAGGUUCCUCUGAUAUAUCUCAGAAUCCUCUUUACAGCUAUUCAAUGCUCUCCACCACGAUUCGCCAUGUAUCGACUGACUGCUCCCACUGCUUGUGCAAUGUCUAGUCUAGUACAUAUCAUAGCGAAUAUCAAACUUCCCACUGUUGAUGCAUACGGUACUCGAGACAUCUCCUUCCUCUCUGCUUCAUUGUUAGGACACAUACUUGAGGAUAAUUUGAAAUUAACAGGAAGUGGGGUAGAAAUUGGCUUACGAUACUGCAUGUUGAAGCGUCACAAGAUUUUCUUCAAGUAGUUCUUCUGAGAAAGCCAAAUCUUCAUGUUAUUUCUGUCUCGGUGAAUUUACAUCCCUAGAAUCUUGUUUGCUGAUCCCAAGUCCUUCAUUUCAAACUCUCUAGCUAAUUGUGCCUUCAAUUCUUGGAUUCGAUCUUUGUUAAGGCCUGCUACCAACAUGUCAUCCACAUACAAUAGCAAAAUAAUGAAAUCAUUAUCUUCAAACCUUUUGUAAUAUUCACAAUUGUUUGAACUGAGUCUGUUGUAUCCAAGGCUCAUGAUAAAGGAAUCAAGUCUCUUAUACCAACAUCUCGGCGCCUGUUUGAGAUCGUAUAGAGAUUUGUUCAACCUGCAAACCAAAUUUUCCUUUCCUAUUUCUGCAAAACCUUCUUAUUGGAGCAUAUAUAUUUCUUCUUCAAGUUCUCUAUGAAGAAAUAUAAUUUUCACAUCCAACUGCUCAAGAUAUAAGUCAAAUGUAGCACACAUCGCUAAGACUACUCUGACUGUUGUGAGUCGAACUACCAGAGAAAAUAUCUCGUUGAAGUCAAUACUUUCUUUUUGAACAUAUCCUUUCACCACCAAUCUUGCACGAUACCGUUCCACUUGGUCAUUGCCAUCACGUUUGAUCUUAUAGACUCAUUUGUUUCCAAUAAUAUUUCUUCUACGUGGUAGUGGUACAAGUUCCCAUGUCUUGUUCUUGUGUAGAACCUCAAUUUCUUCCUGCAUUGCUGUCAUCCACAAAGUAACAUCUGAGCUGUUUAAAGUUUCAUGGAAAUUUGAAGACUCUCCAUCCUCUAUUAGAAGACAGUAAGCAAUAUUGAUCUCUGUGACAUACUCCGAGUGCCACACUAGCGGUUGUCUCUCACGAGUUGACUGACGAACUUCUGGAGCCUCGGACUCGACUGGUUCUUGUUCCUCGUGCUCUGGUGCUGCUUUAGAAGAAUCUGAAUCUUCUGGAUUAUUUUCCACGUAUACCUGCACAAUCUCUAACUUUUCUUUUACAGUGCCAUCAUCUCAAUCUUUCCUUUGCAGAUGAUCUUCUACAAAAAUAACAUCUCUGCUAAUGACGAUCUUGUGGGCAGUGGGGUCCCACAGACGAUACCUCUUUACUCCAUCAGCAUAUCUCAAUAAGAUACAUCUUCUAGAUUUUGGAUCUAGCUUUAUUCUUUCUUGGGCAUUGUAUAUCACGUACACGAGACAUCCAAAUGCAUGUAGGUAUGAGUAAUCAGCUGGCUUUCCAGUCCACAUCUUCAUCGUUGUCUUCAGCCCAAUUGCUAUAGAUGGUGACCGAUUUACUAUAUAACAGACAGUUUUGGCUGCUUUUGCCCAGAAUGAAUUAGGUAAACCAGCAGUCCUUAACAUAUCUCUUAUUCUUUCUGUAAGAGUUCUGUUUAUCCACUCUGCCACUCUGUUUUGUUGAGGAGUGUAUGCUAUCAUGAACCGCCUCUGAAUACCUUCUUGCUUACAGAAAGCAAGAAACUCGUCGUUUGUAUACCCUCCACCAUUAUCUGUCCUCAAGCACUUGAUCUUUUUACCAGAUUUAAGUUCCACCCGCGCUUUGUAUUCUUUAAACACUAGAAAAACAUCUGACUUUUUCUUAAUUAGAUACACCAACAUUUCCUAGAAUAAUCAUCAAUGAAAGUCACCAGUACUUUGCACCUCCUAUGGACAUAUCCGGUGAUUCCCAAACAUCAAAAUGAAUCAAGUCUAAAAUGCAGUUACUUCUAGCAACAGAUCUACAGAACUUUAAUCUAUACUGUUUACUUAUAACACAAUGCUCGCAAAAUGGUAAACUUACCGAUUUGAGCCAUGGAAGCAAUUUUCGCUCAGAGAGAAUCUUCAAACUUUGUUCCAACAUGUGGCCAAGUUUGAGGUGUCACAUCAUCGUUGAUUCUUCUCCAUUUGACGCGACACACACAUCAGCCUCCUAUAGUGUUUCUCCUUUAAGCAUGAAUAGAUUAGCAUCGAUCUUUUCUGCCUUCAUCAAUACAAGCGUGCCUUUAACGAUCUUUAUAAUUUCAUUCUCUAUAUGAGUUUUGUACCCAUGGCUAUCCAUUUGUCCCAAAGACAAUAGAUUUUUCUUCAUGCCGUUAACAUGUCGUACUUCCCCAAUUGUGCGAAUUGUACUAUCAAAUAUUUUUAUUUUGAUAGUACCAAUACCAGCGAUCUCCAAGGCAUGAUCAUCUCCCAUAUAUACAGAUCCUCCUGAGAUAGGUUCAUAUAUGAGGAACCAUUCUCUCCGAGAGGUCAUGUGCUAGGUAGCUCCUGAGUUUAUAAGGCAGACAUCAGAUAAUUGUUUUCUGCCUUCUGAAACAGUUGUUGCCUCGCUGUAGAGAAUUUUGCCAUCAUCUGAGGUACUUGCUACACACCCCUGAGCAUUUUAUAACUCGGGUUCUUUGCCUUCUUUUCUCUUCUGAUUACUCCAACACUCUUUCUUGAUGUGCCCUUUCUUACCACAGUUGUAGCAUUUAACAUUCUUCUUACUUCUGGAUUUUGAUCUACCAUGAUUGUGACUCCCACUGGGACCACGUUCCAUUGAUCUCCCUCUCGUCACUGAUAGCGCCUCCGCUUGCUACGAACUUGCUUGUCUGUUUUCUUUAUUUUUUUUGUCUGCUCUCCUCAUUUAAUACGGAGGCUGCAACAUCGUCGAAAACCAGACUAUCCGCUGGAUUUUUGUUCGUCAUGUUGAUGAUGAGUUGAUCAUAUGAAUCUGGUAGACUUUGAAGUAGAAGCUCUGCACGUUCAUUUGCCUCUAUAUUAUGACCCAACGUUGUGAGUUGUGAAAAUAGAGUCUUCAAGGUGUUGAUGUGUCAUUCGAAGAGUAUAGAGUUUCCUCUUCGAAGAGUAUAGAGUUUCCUCUUCAAGAAAUAAAUUUAUCAAAGAUAAAAUGGAGACAAAUGUAAAUAAAAAAAAAUGAAAAAGCAAUAAAUUAUUGAAGUUGUUUGUGAGUUUAUUCGACAGAUAAUGGAUGCGUAUGCCUUACCUGCUAUUAAGAUUAAUUAGCUUCUUCAUUAACCGAAUACGAAAUAUUGAGGGGGAAAAAAACACAUAAUUGAAUCUUGAUUAAGCUAAAAGAAAUAACUCUGUUCAACCCACAUAGGGAGAGCAAUACGGCUACUAGACUUAUCCAUAAAAUGGGGGACAAUACUAUCAUCUCGAAUAUCAUAGAUUCCCAUGUUCUUACCGUUUACUUUCCAUUUAUCAGUGAAUUGUAUUUCUACUUGAGAACAAUCAGUAAAGUAUAUGCAAUUUCGUUCGCAGAUCGAGGAGUCCAAUAUUUCAAUAGAAAAAGAAGAAUUAAGACCCAAGAAGAGUGCUCUAUUUCCCAAAUCCUUGACCUUCGUCCAUGUAUUAGUGGUUAAAUCCACCUCAAAAACCUGAAACUUAUUCGCUCUACUUCGUGUGACAACCACCAAUGCCCCUCCAGAUUCUACCAAAUAUAGUAUUGAAGAGGACAUAAGUAACGAGAUUGACAUCCGUGCCACAACAAUCAAGUUAUUAGGAACGUGACCAGUAAAAUCACAAACAAAUAUAUAACCGAGCCAAUUUAUAGCAUAAAACCUGCCUUUGUGAUAAAUAACAUCAUGAAACCUGUACCAAUUCCCAGUGUCUACAGUGAUCCAAGUUUCUUGGCCUGGUUUAAAAUAAGCUAGUCUUCUUUCACUUCCACAAACAACCAUUACCGUAUAAUCAGAGUGUCGCUCCAAAUUACUCGCAGAAACAACAAAUUUUUUGAAGAAGAAGGGAUGGUCGACGCAAUAUUCCCAGGGCAUAAACGUACGUAUGUUCGGAAGUUCAAGUUGAACCCAUGAAAAGGAUUCAAAAGACUUGCAUUUAGAUUUUGAACAUGGAGUCUCAGAAGCCAACCCUUGGAAGAAAGGCAGUUCCUGUGGGAAUUUGCUUCUGGUAACAAAAUACGGCGGCUCAUGCCCCUUGACAGACUGAAGAAACCACGUUGAUUAAUAUCGCCGCAAUUUAGUGGCAUAUGCAUAAGGAGAGGCAUCUGAUUAAACUUGUACAUAAAUUUUUUGAUAGCUGCAGCCCAUCUCCAUGAAGUACAAACCCAACGAAAAGAAACAAAAUCCUCGUACAAUUUUAUCCGCCCAGCAAUUUCGACCAACAGAUCAUGAUGAAGUUCCGAUCGACCAAUUCGCCAUUUCAGAGGCCACUCGACUAGAGAUUAAUUGAAAUACCCUAACCCCUUAAGACUAAUCUCGCUCUCUCUCUCUUGUUGAAAAUUGAGUAAAAAAAAAAAGAGAGUUGAAAAGUCAAUUUGGAAGAUAUCAUUUGAAUUCAAUUUGGAGAUAGUCGAGAAGUUUGAUAAGCAAUUAGAAGUGGUCAAAACUAUUGAAAUGGUGGCUAUUGAAUGUUGAAAAAUUGGCUUGAUUUUAGGCAAAAUCUUGCCUAUAAAAGGAAGCUCUCAUUUGAGAGCUUGGCAUCCCAAAUCCCAGAGAUGGAAUCCAAGUUUUGGUGAGAAAUUAAGAGGGAGAAAUAUUCUUAAGCAUGUAGUUAUAUUGAAGGAGCAUUUGGCUCCUCAAUACAGGUAUUAUGGGUUUGCUUUGUUAAGGGAUAUUUCUCAAGAUUAUGUAUUUGGGGCUUGGGUGAGAGAAAAUUUAUGAGAGUGUGGUUGUAAUAAUUUUCCACAUAGUGAAUAUUUUUUUUUCUCUGGUUGUCUUGUGACAACGGCCGUGGUUUUUCUCCGGAUUUAGAGUUUUCCACGUAAAUCUUGUGUUGUGUGAUUGGUAUAUUCUCCAUUCAAUUUUUCUUAUUAAUUUGUUGCUUGAUAAAUUGCUUGGAGAGAUCUUGGGAGGAAACUCAAUUUCCUAACAGUGGUNNNNNNNNNNNNNNNNNNNNNNNNNNNNNNNNNNNNNNNNNNNNNNNNNNNNNNNNNNNNNNNNNNNNNNNNNNNNNNNNNNNNNNNNNNNNNNNNNNNNNNNNNNNNNNNNNNNNNNNNNNNNNNNNNNNNNNNNNNNNNUUUUGGCACCUCAAGAAAAUUGUCAAGAAGGUGGAGUGGGCUCGGUAAAUUACUCCAGAAUCAGUAAAGGAGAUAAUGAUAUUCUCGUAGAUAGUGAGUUUCCUUUUGAUAGGAGAUUGGGUUAGUUCUUUUGGCAUGUAAAUCUCCAAGUUGCCAUGAAAGAGAACAUGCUAUGAUCAGCGGGGUACACAAGUUUGCACGCGGGCAUUGGCUUGGUAUAAAUGCAAGGUGUGUGAUGGAAAAGUUAUGUCAUGGCUGAAGAAUUCUCAGGGAAACCAAGCAUGAGAAUUGCACCAUAAUUUUCAGCGGAUAUGUUCGACAUGUGCCGAAAAAAAAAAAUCUUAGAAUGGUUAAUUCUAAGUGUUAUACUCUUUAUGGUGGAGUAUGAUAAUUCUCUAUGUUGAGAAUUAUGACUGUUGGUGAAGACAGUGCUUUGUAACAUUAGUUAUGAAUUUUUUUUUUUUUUUUUAUCAAGGUGGAGAUUGUUGAAAAUUGAUUAAAAAAAAAAGAGUUGAAAAGUCAAUUUGGAAGAUAUCAUUUGAAUUCAAUUUGGAGAUAGUCGAGAAGUUUGAUAAGCAAUUGGAAGUGGUCAAAACUAUUGAAAUGGUGGCUAUUGAAUGUUGAAAAUUUGGUGAGAAAUUAAGAGGGAGAAAUAUUCUUAAGCAUGUAGUUAUAUUGAAGGAGCAUUUGGCUCCUCAAUACAGGUAUUAUGGGUUUGCUUUGUUAAGGGAUAUUUCUCAAGAUUAUGUAUUUGGGGCUUGGGUGAGAGAAAAUUUAUGAGAGUGUGGUUGUAAUAAUUUUCCACAUAGUGAAUAUUUUUUUUUCUCUGGUUGUCUUGUGACAACGGCCGUGGUUUUUCUCCGGAUUUAGAGUUUUCCACGUAAAUCUUGUGUUGUGUGAUUGGUAUAUUCUCCAUUCAAUUUUUCUUAUUAAUUUGUUGCUUGAUAAAUUGCUUGGAGAGAUCUUGGGAGGAAACUCAAUUUCCUAACAUCUCUCUCUAUCUAUAUAUAUAUAUAGUGUAUGUUAACUAGAAAACCUUUUUCAAAUCGGAGGCGUACAAAAAAUUAACAUAGUAAUUUUGUACAUUGCGACAAGAAUCUAGUUAUGAAUUCUACUAAAAUCAGGAAAAGCAAGUCAAUUCCAAAUAGAACAAGAGUGGUAAAAUUGAAAUAACAAAAGUACUAUUCAAAUAAGAAAACUAGUAUGGGCUUGUAUGUAUCUGUCAAUUGGAUUCGGCCAAUAGCCAGUGCACGACCCACCAAAACUAGUGGGCAAUGAUCUCGUUAGCCAUUAUGGUUCUGUCAAUUAUACAUUAUGUGUUAGAUUGAAGACGUAGAAAAGGUGAACUUAAUGAGGAAAAAAGAAAGAAAGAAAGAAAGACGUCGUAAUAAUUUCUUUGUAAUGCUGCUAACCUAAGAUAAAUUGAAUCAAAUAGAAAUAGAACUGGGGUACGUGUGGUUGAGCUUGCUUUUGUUAAAUGGACAUCUCGUUCCCCUCUAAAUAUUCCCCUCUUGCCAUGUUUGCUCGCGGUGAAUUUUGUCAAAUUCUUUGGUUCUUUUCGAACCAGAGACGUGAAAAAAGAUUAAAUAAAUAAAAAAUAAUCAUAAUUUCAUUCUGUUAUUCCACAUUAUAUUUAGUUAUAGUAGGAUAAGGUCAAUCAAGUCAAAUCAAUCAUGAGUUUCAUUUGACUGGAUACUUGAGUUCUAACCCCCUUAAAAAAUAAAAAUGUCAAAAUAUGAAUAGUUUCUAUAUAUUGCUCAAGGAAAAUCAAGAGAAAAAUUAGAAUCAAUCAAGCACGGAGAAUUGCAAGGAGAAUAAUGGAUACUUAAACAAUAUACUGUUUUUAAUUACAAUAUAAUCUCCAAUGAUCUUAGAAACAAAUAAUUACUUAUGAAGCAUUGCAAGUAGUUUAUGUUGAAGUAAAAUAGAAACGUAAUUAAGAAUGAAAAAUACGUCAACAUUGUAGCUGCUUCUAAUUUUAGGCAGCAAAAUAAAUUUGAAAUCAAAUAUACAAACCAAUUUUUUUUAAAAAAAUAAAAUCUAAUCGUAAGUAAGCUAACUAAAAUAAUUAUGUUCAAGCCACAUGGAGAGAGCAAUACGGCUACUAGACGUACCCGUAAAAUGUGGGACAAUGCUACCGCGUCCAAUGCCGUAGAUUCCCAUGUCCUUGCCCUCAUUGGAGCCCCUUUCUACUUGACAAUCAUCAGUGAAAUAUGCCCCUCCUGAUUCUACCAAAUAUUACCGCUGCCCCAACGAAGACCAAGACAUUUAACACUUGUGCCAUAACCGUCAAAUUAAAUUAGAAUCCUCAGCACUAAAAUCACAAACAACUAUCCGCCCACACUUAGCUACAGCUAGAAUAAAACUUAUCUUUGUGACAAAUAACAACAAGCCUCUCCCAUUCCAAGUGUGUACACUGAUCCAAGAUUUUCGGCCUUGUUGGAAAUAACCAUUACUAUGUAAUCAGAGUUUUCCAGGUUACUCAAUGACACAAUAAAUCGUUUGAAGAAAAUGGAUUGGUGAUCUCGUUGAGGAAAUUCCCUAUAUUAUUACUACAACGUGUUCUAAAUGUGGUCGGAAGUUGAAUUUGAACACGUUAGAAAGGAUGCAAAAGAGACUUACAUUGCAAUUUCGAGCGUCAAAUGUUAGAAGCCAACCAUUUGAAGAAAGGCAGUUCCUGCAGGAAUUUGCUUCUGAUAACAAAACACGGUCGCUUAUGCCUUUGAAAGACUGAAGAAACCACAUUUGCUAUUGCUGCAAUUUAGUGGCAGAUGCAUAAGGAGAUGCAUCUGAUUAAACUUGUUCUUUUAAAUGUCAUUAUAUUCAGUUGUUAUUUUGUUUUGUUGACAAUAAUUUGUUUAGGUGUCAGUUAUUUAGGACCUAGUCAAGUAAGUGGUGGACUUAGUCUACGACUUGGUAGGAAUUAUUGCCCACUUACCUUUUUUUCAUGCUUAGAGUUGCCUGUCUUUAGGAAUAACCGUUGUCUUUUUGUUUAUAAAGGUUCAGUAAAUAAAGAUGCAUAGGUAACUCUGAAUUUGAACAACACCGGUGUGUUUCACAGGGAGGUGCAGGGUCUCUCGAACGAUUCUGAUUUAUUUUCUUGCUUUCCUUCUUAAAUAUUUCAUCUUGCAUCCAAAAUGUUAGGCAGGACUAACAAGACUGAUUCAAGCUCGCUGUACCAUGUUCGUAAAGCUGUUGAUAGUGCCAGCCAAUCUCCGUGAAGUACAAACCCAACAAAAAGAAACAAAGUCUUCAUACAAUUAACUAUUUGAAGAAUAAAUGUGACAUUUUAAUUGGAAAAUUAACUAAUUGAAGCCAAGAUCUAGAUCCAGUGGUAAAGUGCAAUUUUUAUAGAUUUCAAGUUUUGCGUUUGAAUUUGAAUGGGUGAGUAAAUUAAUAAUAAUAAUAAAACAAAUUAACUAGUUUUAAUCUACAGAGGUCUUAGAUCAUCAAAUAAUGAUAGAACCUCGAAUUUCAUAAAUUUUAAGUUGAAUGAUUACAUUAUUUCACCAUCUAGUGAAUAAAUGCCAAAUUAUUUAAGAAAAAUUUUGAAAAUAAAAUUUUGAGAUAUAUAUCACUACUCAAUUAAAUGUAGUAUAAAAAAUACAUCAGGGACCAAAAAUAUAAAAAUCCAUUAGAAAUUAAAAAAAAAUAUAAAAGUCAAUUUCUGAUUAGAAGAAUUAAAAUAUCAUUCUCCUAUAAUCAUUUCACUAGAUUUUAUAUAUAUUUAUUACAGCAAAAUUAAAAUAAAAAAUUGGCACCUAACCCUAACGUCUUUGACAUUGCUACCAAUAUCACUCACUCACAACUUACAAGAAUGAAUCUAGACUUAAUUUUCCCAGGGAAUUUUUAGUUUGACUUUACAUUUUCAGACCCAUUUGCCACAUAACACCUUAGUUGGUUAACAAAGCCCUUUCAUGAGAAUAUUAAAACUGCUGUCGAAUAAGCAUCUUAACAACCCCUUUUUUGACAUACAUGCAUGCCUCCUUAUGUGAAGAAAUUUGAAACAUAAAAGAAAAUUUCAAUCGAUGUGAGAGUUGGGAGUAUUUUAUAGCUUUUCUCCUCAUUAAUUAUGAAUUAAGAGAAUAUUUCUACGUCACUAAUGAUUAAAAUGAUCACUAUAUAAAGGGUAGCAAAGUAUGUUUAACAUCAAGUCAGAAAACACAAUUUUAAGGAAAUGGGAACUCGGGGACAGGCGAGGCAAUGGCCUCAAUUGUUUUGUGCUAUGGCAUUUUUGCUUAUAGCCACCACCACCAAGGCAUCGGCUGAUGAUUAUGCCUCAGCACCACCACCAAAGCAUUCUCCUCCACCUCCUUACGACUACAAAUCACCACCUCCUCCUUCUCCCUCUCCACCGCCACCAUAUUAUUACAAGUCUCCCCCACCACCAUCUCCAUCUCUUCCACCGCCUUACUACUAUAAAUCACCACCUCCACCAAAAUAUUCUCCUCCACCACCUUACUACUAUAAGUCACCACCUCCACCAGUGAAAUCUCCACCUCCGCCAUAUUACUAUAAAUCACCACCACCACCAAAACAUUCUCCCCCGCCACCUUACUAUUACAAGUCACCACCACUACCAGUGCAUUCUCCCCCACCGCCUUACUAUUACAAAUCUCCGCCAACACCAAAGCAUUCUCCCCCGCCACCUUACUACUACAAAUCUCCACCACCACCAAAACAUUCCCCACCACCACCUUACUACUAUAAGUCACCGCCUCCACCAGUAAAGUCUCCACCACCGCCACCAAAGUAUUCUCCCCCACCACCUUAUUAUUACAAAUCACCACCUCCACCAGUGAAGUCUCCAC